GGGUGCGUUUGGUUCGCGCUAUCUUUUAAAGAUUACUAGUAAUCCAAUGGAAAUAAAAAAUUAUGACGGCGUUUGGCUAAACGCACUAAGUAAUCUAGUUGGUAAUAUUGAAUUUACUUGGGAAUAAGAUUCACCUCAAAAUACUAAUCUCAUUCCCUUGAGGAAGGGUGAGUAUCCUCAUAUUAAUGGAUUGGGGUAAUCAUUAUAUGUCUAAUCUCUUUCUUUCUUCCUACUCGCCGGCUAAUUGAUGUUAUUUUUCUUUACACUCUAACCUUAUAUCUUUCUCUAAACUUUUUUUUCUCUCUCUAAACUAAGCUUUCUCUCUCUCUCUUUCUAAAAUUUCAACUCUCUCACUCCCUCUAAUUUCGACUAUAUUUUUCUUUCUAUUUUUUUAAUUAUGCUCUCUCUCUCUAACUUAUACUCUCUCUCUCCCUUUUUUCUAAAUAGAUGUUGAAACUUUUGGUAACAUUAUCUAAAAUUAAAUUAAUUAAUUAAUUAAUUAAUUGUAUAAUUUUUAUAAUAUUAAAUAAUAUGGCUAAUUAAUAUUACUGUGCGAACCAAAGACAGAAAUUUCACAUUCUUAGUAAUAAGAUGAAUAGGAAUAAGAUUCUCGGAUAUCUUUUACUCCUAGUAAUUUUUCAUAAUGCGAAUCAAACACACCCUAAAGGUGAGAGUGGCCUUACACACUUUCCAUAUAAGAUGUGAUUAUGAUAAGUAAUUGAAAAGGGGAAUAAAAAAAUAAAAAGAAAAAAAAAAAGCAAGGAGGAUGUGUAUAUGUAUAGUAUGCUGAUUUUUAGUGUCUUUUUCUUAACUAGUGUCUUGUUCAGUGAAAAGAGGAUCAGUAUUUUGUUUUAUGGUGGUAGGUCAUUUUAGAUCGAGUCACGUUGGAAUGACGUGAGAUUGGUUGAAUUGAGUCACAAUUAUAAUUUAUAAAGGUUGUGUCUAUGCGCUUUAAGUGAAUUAGUUGCGUUUUUAUAACGCCUCGACCUUUUGGGAUUAAUGUUUCAUACUAACAAUCUGACCACUGGUGUCAGAGUCAGAGAAAGUUAGAUCCCGUAGGUAUGAUUUUGGCGGCGGGAUGUAGAGUCACGCGCUGCAUCCGUACAUUUUAAGAGAGUUAAUUGCAUUUUUUUUUAAAGUUCGAACUUUUGAGAUUAAUAAUUUGCGCUAACGAUCCUGACAGAUUGGGUCAUGAUGGGCCUGCUUUACUAGGGCAGACCAGGUUUGAAAAUCAGAAACCCAACAAAUCUAUCUCUCGACUGAAUCGUAGGUGAUCUGAUUUAAUCUCUUUCUAAUGAGCCGAGUCAACGUGAUUCAAUCCAACCUGCUCCGAUCAUUUCAUGAGCAUUGCAAUCCUAGGUUGGGCAAAUUUAAUCAGAUUCAAAAUGACCCCACCCGAAUCCGGUGUUUGCGCAGGUUUAACUCUUCUUAACUUUGUGAUAAUGAUUAUAAACAACUAAGAUUAGAAAAGUGCUUAUACGUUAUCUGCUUCCUAAAAUCUAUGUAAACAGAGAACAUGAUUAGGAUUUUUUUUAAUCACUUUUUCACCCGGAUUUGCUCGGGCUUAAGCCAACCUUAAUUUGGUCUAGUUAAACGUUAUUAACCUUUGUCAAUCAAAUUUUCUAGCUAAGGGGAAACAAACCUCUAAUUCUAUGGUUUUCUAAGGCCACGUGAUCUGAGAAAAUAGUACAAAAGUUUAGCCUAGUAAUAUUUUUUGGAAUCAAGUAGAUCGAGUUGAUCAAGUUGCCAAAAAGAAACAAAUAUAUGAAUCGUAUGGAUCACUUAUAAUCAAAUUUGGUUCUAAAGUGAGUUUGAUGUUCACCUUUAAAAAGUUGGAUUAGUGGAAAAGGAGGGACCCAAACCUACCAUGCAUCAGAUAACUUUAUUACAUCAAUAAGCAUGUGAUUAAAGGACUAAACAGCUGUGCCACAUUUUAAUAUCUUUUUAAUUAACUUUUGGUUUGGUAAUUAACUUUAGCUUUUUUUUUAAUCACUUGAUGCUUGUUAGGAAGUUUCUUUGUGCCUCCUACAUGGCAUACAAUGUGAUAUAUAUUUAACUUUUCCACAUUGCGAUUUCUCUAGAUUUUGCAUUUAAUAAUUUAUUAGCAUGUUAAUAUAUGCAUGCAUAUAUAUACACAUGCAUGUUUAGACACAAAAAUAUAUUUAUAUAUAUAUGAGUCCUGCUCGUGUAUAAAUGUGUUGGUCACUGAAGUACACUUUGUGAUAAUUUUUCUUUUCUGUAAAAUAUUAGAGAAAAUUCAACUAGGAUAGUGAUCACCAGAGUAACAACCAACUAUGUCUGUGCAGAUCGAAAUCAAUAUUUUAUCAAUUUUAUGAUGUGAUAAUUACAAAUAUAUAAUCAAUUUUAUGAUGUGAUAAUCAAUAUUUUAUCAAUUAAUAUGUGGUUAGGAUGUUAGUGAUUUCUUAGGGUUUAGUGGGACGUGGUUGGUUAAAUAUUAUGAUUUAAUGAAUGAAAAUAUUUAAAGAGGUAAAUUUAACAGCAGAAAACUCGAUAGCACGAAGCUUUUACUACUAUCGAUAGUAUAAAAGCCGAACACUCACUCACUCUCUCUCUCUCUCUCUCUCUCUCUCUCUUCGGUUAUGGUGCAUUUAAAAUCACCAAGAAUACUAUAUAUAUAUAUAUAUAUUAUAUAUAAUAUAUAAUUAAUAUAUAUAUAUAUAUAUAUAUAUAUAUAUAUAUAUAUAUAUAUAUAUAUAUAUAAGUUCAUCCCAAGAGAGAAAAAGCAAAUGAAAAUGAUGAUUUUAACAACGAAAGAGGAUCACCAGGAGGUGUUCAACCUUAAACCAAAUCCAGUCACACAGAGGAACAGUAACAUAAUUCGAAAUUCGUGAUGUUUAUUGUCGAAUCCAGUGGUAGGGAUUAACGAAACAAGUUAACGAUCACAAUAUAUAUACACGUAAUUUCAUCUCCUCCUAAAUCAAUUCCAAACCAUAUACAUACCACAGGGAACUUUCACACAACUCUGGUAUCAUAAGACCUAAAUCACCACAGACCUCGAAAACGACUGGAGAUUUCUUAGCUUAAAAUUAACACCACGUAGAAAACCUGAACCCCCCGUUAGUGAACACUACGUUAUGAAACAUCCUAAGGUAAACCAACCCUCCGAAACUUGAAAAGGCGGUGAAGAAAACUACUAGCCACCUGUAAAAAAUUCGAAGAAAACUAGAAUAAUUAACCUAGAAGACGUUUUCAUAACAACCUCAUCUCGACGAGCUUCUUCAUUAUUAUUGAAAAGAAAUCUUAUAAGCAAACCUUAGGGAUAUAAUCUUAAAAUGUUAACUUCAAAUUGCUAAUGAACCAAAAGUAGUGGUGUCGCAUCGGAAAUCCGGAAAAUGAACAGUUUCUAGUCUAUUAAUAAAUGAAAAGCUACAUUUUUUUAACAAGGCUUUGGUUCGCUUAACCAUAAUGUCAUGUUGCUCUUUUAUACUCUAGAUCAAGAUUCCACCUCAAAAUUUUCUUUUAAAUAAACUCAGGAAUGCUACGACAACGACUACCUUUAUAUACUACUUAUAGAACGAAAAGGAAAACCUGAAAGAAAAAAGAAAGGACACCCGUGUUUAACUAAGAAAUGAAUCUACGGAGUAUUACUUUUAUGAGACAACUAUGAAAAAAGACGUAGUUUCUAAGUCUUAUAAAUAACACACUAUUCAAUCAACCACCCAUCCGACUCAAGGGGAUCACAAUCAUCCUAACAGUAGAUUCCUUCAUUUAACGACAAAAAACUUAUGAGUAUAAAGGGUCUAUACUCAUAAGAGUAUAUAUAGUAGCCCGGCCUAUUCUCUCUCUCUCUCUCUCUAUAUAUAUAGAGAGAGAGAGAGAGAGAGAGAGAGAGAAAGAGAGAGAAAGAGUAUGUUUUUGGUGCUUUUAAAAGUACCAAACACAUGACGCUUGUAAGCUUUUCGCCGUUUGAUCUAUCUCGUUUACUAUUUUCAUUCCGUUAAAUCAUACUAUUCAACGAACCACUCAUUUAAUUUUAGAAUAUCAUCAUCAUCCUAAUCGUAUAUCCCUUAAUUUAAGGGCCGAAAACAUAUCAGCACUAAUGACUUAUGCUUUUAAAAAUAUAGAAGCUCAAUUACACACACACACACACACACACACAUAUAUAUAUAUAUAUAUAGAGAGAGAGAGAGAGAGAGAGAGAGAGAGAGAGUCUGACUACUAUACUCUUAUGAGUACGAUCGCCUUCGUACUCAUAAGUUGUUUUCGGUGAUAGAGCUUUCGAAUCGACGAUCCAUACUGUUAAACAUUAUUUAGAACAUUUAAAACUUCUAGAAAUCAAAUUUUAUAAUUUUCGAUAUCAUUUACCUUACGAUCAAAAGCUCACAAAAUUGACAAUUUUUAACGGCCGGUAUGAAAUAUUUGCUAGUUUAACGGUGAAAAAGAAUCGGAAUAGGUUGAAUUUUUGAUAGAAAAUUCUAUUUACUAUUUAAAUAAAGAUCAAUAACUCCGAUCUUAAAUUGAAGGAUUCGAUCAUCCAUUUUUAGGAUGUCGUUCGAUUUUAACCCGUUCAUUUUAUACCCGCUUGAUGGACUUUAUAAUGAUUUUGAAAAAUUACGAAAUUUAUUUUUUAGAAGUUUCGACUAUUCUAGAUCAUGUUUAACAGUGUGGAUCGUCGAUUCGAAAACCCCAGCAUCGAAAACAACUUAUGAGUACGAAAAGCUCUAUACUUAUAAGAGUAUAGUAGCCAUACUCUCUCUCUAUAUAUAUACAUAUAGAGAGAGAGAGAGAGAGAGGAGAGAGAGAGAGAGAGCUAGGUUCCUAUGCUUUCGAAAGUACGGAGGCCUCCGUGCUUGUAAGUUAUUUUCGAUGAUGGGACAUCCAAUUCGGCAGUCGGUUCCGUUAAACUUGAUCUACGCUAUUGGAACUAUCUAGAAACCAAAUUUCAUAAUUUUUUGCCUUCAUUUGUCUAGUAAACGGUUAGCCUCAAAAUGAAUCGCCGAAAAUGAAAAUCUCAUACAAAACAAUAAUAAAGGACUCAAAUUUUAAAUCGGAAGUAUUGAUCUUGCUUUGAUGUUAAGUAGAAUUUUCUAUUAAAUUUUUAUGUAAUUUAGAUACUUCUACACCGUUGAACUUAAAAACAUGCCAUAUCGGCCGUUAAAAUAGUCAUUCUUGAGACCUUUUGAUCGCUUGGUAAAUGAUGUUAAAAAAUUAUAAAAUUUGGUUUCUAAAUAGUUACAAUAGGGUAGAUUAUAUUUAACGGAGCCGAUCGUCGAAUCGGAUGUCCUAUCAUCGAAAACAACUUACAAGCACGAAGGUCUCCGUAUUUUUAAAAGUACAAGAGGCGUACUAUAUAUAUAUAUAUAAUUGUACUUCAAGUAAAGCACAGAGAUGUGCAAAUUUUAAAAAAAAAGUAAACUCUUAUCUCAAAGUGAGUAUAAUUUAUAGAUCUCUAGUAUCUUCUUUGGUGGUAAUCAUGGGAGAAUCUUUACUCCUAAAAGCUUCAUCCCACUUGGACAAAGGCACUUAAUUACAAAGCUAACACUAAUAAGUGGUGAGAAAAAUGGAGUAUGUGUAUGACCUAGAGGGGACUUGAGAGAUUGAGGGCUCACAACACAUCAUUAAACUCUCUCUCUCUCUCUCUCUCUCUCUCUCUCUCUCCUUUACAGCCCCUGUAUAUAUAUGUAUACCUAACCACAUAAAGCCACAUAUACAUGACACAUCUAAAAGAGAUUAAACACUUCCACCACUAUAAUAGUAUAUAAUAAAGUUCCCCCUCCACUCAAACCUAGAAGAACCAUCCUCUCCCUUUACUUUGGUUGAAUCAAGUCUCAAUUAUUGCACCAACUAUGCACCAUAUGGGAAAGGUAACUAGAAUGUCCAGUCCCAAUCACAACCAUUGAUGCUAAAUUGAAUGGCUAGAUGGUGUUGGGCACCACCUUUAGGCUCUCCUUUCAUUUGUCUCUUCAAGAUCCAAGAAGUCACUAGGGACCCAAUGGUGUUUGAACCUCGAUGAGAUUUGGGCACCAGAGAGUGUUGGGUUGGACCCAUUCAAUUUUUUACCUUAGCUUUUCUUAGUCCUUAAGUUUUGAGUUUUUAGACUUGCCCUUAAUAUCAAAGUAUAAAAAUAAAAUAUACGUCACAAUAUUACCACAAAUACAGAGUGUCAUUUGAAAUUUCAAUAGUUAAAAAUUUAGAACAAAAAAAAAAAGAAAAAAACUUUGUAAGUACAAAUUUAGUCAAUUUCCUAGUCCUUGGUUUCUAUUAGUUUCCUCUUGACAAUCUUGAAUCGCAUGAAAGACAGAUGACUUAAAAUAUUCCUCAGAAAUAUGCAAAUUAACAUUCAAAAGAAGAAGAGCAUUAAUUUGAUUUAUUUUACUUUCCAAUAUUGAAGAUUGUUAAGUAAAACCAGCGGAUUUAGAGCAACAUAUAUGUAUCGGUGAUUAAAAUAUUUUACAAAGUUUAUGUAAUUUAUUUUUACUUUCAUGUUCAGGUGGCGCUCUGCGAUAGAGCGAAUGUUUUGAAUACUCUAAUGCCUUGAAAAUUCAAAGAUUCUUAGAGCUUGGAAAUUGAAUUGAAAUUUUCUACUUUGAGUGGCACUAAUUCCUAAUAAUAUAUUCUAUCUUCUUUAUACCAUAACUUUGGUCUCAAACAGGCCUGAAUCUCAAAUAUGUUCCAUGAAUAAGAAGCAAGGAUAUAUGCAUGUCACCAACCCAAGAAUAUGCUUGCACUUUUUAUUGAAAAAAAAAAAAGAGGAAAACUUGAUGUUGCAACUAAAAGUGAUAAUUGGGCCUAGAUGCAAGAAUAAACCAUUUUUGUCCUCGCACAUUUGUAUAUUACUGUACACACACCACCACUCUCUCACUUAUUUCCCUCAUAAUAUGAUCUUAAUUUUAUUUAUACAAUAAUUAGAAAUUAAGAGGCACUUGUCUCUUAAUGCGAACCCUCCGUUAGCGGUCAAUAAGAUCAAGCAAUUGACGACCCUGGGAGANAAAAAAAAAAAAAAAAAAAAAAAACACUUGUCUCUUCUAAUAUCUAUGUGUCUUAUGACCCAUAAUAAUUCCUUCUAGAUGCCUUAUAGCACUAAAUAUUAAAAAGCAAAAGAUCUAGCAGAAAAUGAAGGAUGCUAUCCAAUCACCUUUAUACAAUUAAAAACAGUGGGAAUUUAAAAAAAAAAAAUUGUUUUAGUUUAAUUCUUCUUAUAUAUUUUGAUCAUAGAUUUAUUCUCCAUCGCAUGCCCCACCUACUGCAAGAAUAUUAUUUUGACAUCUAUGUGCAAAAUCAUACCAAAAGCAUGAAAUUCCAGUCCCUGCCAAAAUUAAACCUUUUUUUUUUUUGGUUUUUUACAGCAAUUAAAGGAAUUAAGGAGAAGGCAUAUUCUCAAAGUUAAUGUGGCCUUUAAUUUGGAACGAAUCAAUUUACAUACUUUUGACUGAGACAAGAACCGAAUCGAGAUCAAAUGUUUGUAAUUAAUUAGUUAGUUUAUAAGAUAGAAAAUUGGAAUCUUUGGUCACAUGCCUUAUGUCUAAGUCAUCUGGGGAAAAAAUCCUUGUAAUAUUUUUUAUAUUUUGGUUAAUUAUCUGAAUUGUAUGAAAUGACUUUAAUAUAUUUCAGUAGUUGGGUAAAUUCCCAUUUGUCCCUAGUAAAUUCAUUUCUUUAAUCCAGAUUAUAUUGAAGCCAUUAAUGUGAUUAUAUUUGUGUUUUAUGUUCUUCUUCGGAAGCUAAUAAGUAGAUGCGAUCGAUCAGUCGAAAGAAAAAUAUUUUUUGUCCCCUACAAUAUUGUUGAUAUGCUAGUAAAUCUAUACGAUGGGUGCUUUUGAAUCGCCUAGAUAUAUAUUAACCAAUAAAAACUCUCCACAUCAUGGCCGCCAAUAAAUGUAACAUGACAUAUAAGCAGUACUCAUUUCAAAAUGCCUUAAUAUAUUUCACAAAAUACUGACUGUCCCUAGAGCAAAUGGCAAAAGGCUUGGUGGUUGGUACCCGAGACCCAAGUUCGAAUCCUAGUUGAUUCACAUUUCCAGCUAAGUUUAUUUCUAAAUGAAAAGCAGAUAGCGUGCUAUCUAUCUCUCAAAAUAUAUAUAUAUAUAUAUAUAUAUAUAUAUAUAUAUAUAUAUAUAUAUAUAUAUAUAUAUAUUUCACAAAAUCAAGUAUCUGAGUUGCUCUCUACUGUGUUCUAUGAUCCACGUGACCCAUCAAAUCCACCCAUUAAGCUACUUCAUCCCCCCUGACACAAGGACCCAUUCAGAAACAAACUUUGGUGUAACACCUACAUAUGCACACUUAACUUAAUUAGACCCAUUCAAAACCAAUCAAACAAAGCAAGGCUUUGGACAAAAUAAAGCAAAUUAAAGAAGCCCCACCAAUCAUAUCUCACCACAUCUUUGUUAAAAGAACUAACCACAACCCCCAAUUAGAAAAAACACAUCCCAUGCAAAAUAAAGAGAAAGAAGAAGAAAAAAAAAAGAAAAAGAAGUAGAGCAUCUACCAAAUAUUAAAGAGAUCUCCUUUCCCUCCACCCCUAUAAAACCCUCCUACUGCAUUGCUCUAUGCUGUGUCUUUGUGAGAAGGACCCAAUUCUUUUUUCUACACAUGAUCAAGCUAUAGCUAUAUAUAUAAUGUCUCACCUCUCCCUGCGCAUGCACUCACCAAGUAUAUCAAAAAGUUUGCUCUUUAAUUAGUACUUGAGAGCUUGUACUAAUUUUUAUAUAUGGACCCGAUUAGGAUAGAGAAGUUCCAAGCCAUGAAGAGGUACAAGAGGAGGAAACAAUUCAAUAUUAUUCCAACUCUCCUCAAGUACUUGGUGGGAGUUUUACUUCUUGGGCUGUUCCUCUCUAGCCCCCUCUGGCUCCCCAAGUUGAGCUCAUCUCUCAACCUCUUCGUCGUCGUCGUCCUCCCGAACGUAGCCGCAAGUCUCUUCGGGCCGAAGUGCUUAUUCGUCGUGUGCAACCUCAUCGUCGUGUUCCUCGUGAGCGAGUCGAGGCUGUCGGGAACUUAUUCGAUGCCCGACAUGUACGAAGAGUUCGUGAGGAGGACCGCGGUUGGAUCGAGGACUUCUUCGAAUUCGACGACAGUUGCGGACAAGAGGGGGAGUGCUUUCAUGCAAAUUGGUUUGGUUGGAGGUGUGGAGGAGGGAGAAGGGAAAGGUGGUGGAGAAGUUGAAGGGGUGGAGGGAGGGUGUUGCUGGGAAAUGGAGGAAGAGGAUGAUGAGGACUUGGUUCAUGAGUGGAAUAGGAGAUUUGAGGACUUCAUUGCAAGAGUUAGGAAGCAAAGGAGGCUUGAAGCUAAGAGAAUGCCACUUUGUUACUGUUAUGGGUGAGUGGGCAAUUAAUUAAUGCAUGAUACAUGCAUAUAUACCAACUUCAGUAAGAGCAAAUUUAGAUUUACUUCAUGGCUAUCUUAAUUAGUGUGUAACUAGAAAAGGAUAAAACAAGGCCAAAAAAAAAAAAAAAAAAAAAAAAAAAAAAACAAAGAGGAUAGAAUACAUAAAAAAAGGAGAACUACUUCUCAACAACUUGUAGAUCUUUUUUAAGCCUUUUUUUCAAAAAAAUAAAAAAAUUAAGAGGAGGAGAAAAAAGGAUUAUUUCCUACUUAUAUUUAAUAGGGAAUUAGAAAUCAGAUGGUGGUCAUGCUGUUGUUUUCAUUAUAACAAGCAUUAUCAUAUAUCUACGGCGUUCAUACUAGGUCGGGCUUUCAGAUAGUUUAUCUGAUGUGUCAUUAAGAUUAUUUCUGAAAUAUUUUCUAUAUAUUAAACCACUUCAGUAGAUAACAUGGUAUCAGAGUCAGUCAUAAAUCUCCUCUGUUCAAGAGAGUUUAGUUAGACUCAAUUCUCACGUUAGCAAUAGUGCUGAGACUACUAAUACUACUACUGAGUUAUUUUCUAUGAGAUUGAGUAGAUGGAUAAUAUUAGAUAUUAUGACAAUAAAAGACAACAUUAAAAUGCUAUAGAAUAUUUGGUUUGACCCUUCUGCUAAAAAUUUCUUUUUCUUUGGGCAACACAAUCUGAUUUUACUAUCAGUUUAUAGAACAAAGUCGAUGGUAAUAGUAUUUUAUCCAAUUUUAAAUUUUUAUCAGACGUGUACAGGCUAGGAAAUAUAUAUAACUUAUUGUUAUUAUGCUGACCAUUCACUUAAUCAAAGUUUAAUGUACAAAGAUGCUAUAUAUAUAACCAUGAUUCCAAAUACUUAGUGGAGUUCAAAAGGAAAAAGUAUAAAGGAAAAGCAUGCUCAUAAAGAUAUACAUAUAUAACAGCAAUUGGAGAUCUUUAAGUGUGGAAAGUUAAAUUUAGGUAAACUCUUAUUUGAUCCAUUAACUGCAGGUGUUGGUAUGGUGGUAUCCUAAUAUAAAACCACUAAUGAAAAGUACGUACAUAUUAUGUUUUUUUUUUUUUUUUUAAGAGAUAGGUGUAUGCUGCUUGUUUCGUUUAUUUCAUUUAGAAAAAAACUUAGCUAAAAAUAUGAAUCAAUUAGGAUUCGAACUUGGAACCUCGGGUGCCAACCAUCAAGGCCUUUAUCACUUGCGUUAGGAACAGUUGAUAGAAUUGAGUAUAUAUUUAUGUAGGAAUAAUAUAUAUGAUCCUUUUACGUUUGUUUGCCCCUACUUCUGUAUCUGCUUUUCCAUGCAGCUAUUUCCUCUAGUAGUAGAAUCUUUGGCAUAUAGCACAGAGUAAAAUUUGAAGCUGUAAAAUCAAAAACUCUAAUAUGAAUUGUAAUAAAAAAUUCAAAUUUUAAUUAAUAUAAUAUACUAUUAGGAGCACAGCAGCCCUUGUGCUCCUAAGUUCUUGACCGUCCAUCAAAUUUGAUGGAUGGUUACGGUGAAAGGGAGAAGAAAAAUUGAAGAGAAAUUGGGUUUCUUAAUUUCUCUUCUCUUUGAAUUUCUCUCCAAUUUCUCUUUUCUUUCUCACCUUAACCACCCAUCAAAUUUGAUGGGCGGUNGCUCAACUGUCUCGGCGAGAUUUUGUUAAGGAGCUCCUCAACAAAAUCACGCUUGAUCUCUGUUGGCUUAAAUGGGUCAGUAUCCUUCCCUGUGGCGGGAAGGUCAUAUUCGAAAUAGUGUGAGGUUGGAUGUGCCGAGUCAUGUUCAAAAUGGUGUUGAGGCUGGUUGGGUCGAGUCACAAUCGAGACACGUGGGCGCUGUAUCUGUACGCUUUAAGCACCCGUUUGGUUCGGUGUUAAGAGGUGGAAUAACCCCUUAACCCCGAAGUUAUUCCCAAACACUCAAUUUGGACGGUAGGGUUAGCUAACCCCAUCCCACCCCACUACUUCAACCAAACAAAACACUAUUUUACUCACUAUCCUUCUUAUCCCACCUACUCCAACCAAACACUAUUUUACCUAUAUCUGGACUAAACCCAAUUCGCAACCAAACAUAAAAUUACUCUAACCCCACCUUAACCCUGAACUUAACUCUAUCCCUGGAAUAACAAGUUUUUACUUAAUCCCGAAUCAAACGGUGGCUAAAUGAAUUGGUUGCGUAUUUUUAACAGCUCUAACUUUUGGAAUUAAUGAUUAGCGCCAACGAUCCGACAAAUCUCAACCAUCGAUCAAGAGGUCCUCCAAAGGCCAAUGACACGCGCCGCACGUGCCAAUUACUGUGAUUACUCAACCCAAACCAAAUCCCAAAAAAAAAAGAAGAAGAACAGCUUCGCUCAUAAAACCCCCAUUAUUAAAACACAACAAAUUAAUAAUUAAUAAUGUGACAACUCCACCACAUCUCAAGCCUAUCUUAACACCUUCACUAAACCAAGUUUUAAUCAACAAACGAAUGCGACGCUCAACCAAUAGAAUAAAAGAACGUGAGAGCACUCCUGACAUAAUUUGUUUAAAUUCAAAUUCAAAUAAAAAAAAGUCCAAUUUGAAGAGGCCAACUUCGAACGCCGCCUCUUCUCUCCUCCAAAGAAUUUUUAUUCUCCUACACUUUGUUUUUAUUUAUUUCCAAAAUAGCCCUUGGUCCCUCUCAAGAGCUCUGGGCUCGUGCAAAAAUGUCAAAUUAUUAUAAACUAUUAGUCAAAUAUUUUUAACUAAUAGAAUAUGUUUCAAUAUUCAAAUAUGAUUUUUAUUAUCAAAAUAAUUAUUUUGAGCUUGUUUUUCUUUCUUGGCUCAAGUCAAAUCAUUUUGUAUAAAUUUUUUGACUAUAAAGUACGAAAAUAAUUUUCUAUGAUCUAUUGAACGAUAAAAAAAUAUACAGUGUGAAUUUGUAUUUUUAUACAAAUUCACUAUUCAAAGUUCAGGGGUUAAUCUAAAUCAAUCUAAUCAAUAAAAAAAAAAUCAAAUAUGAAAUAUAGCGGGCGACUAAAGUUAGGCAAUCAGUUAGGACAAAAUUAUAAAGUUUUAAAGUUUUUAAUUUCAAAAUUUAAAAUUGGAAGGGGCGAAUCAGUGAUUCGUUACUUUGCAGGGACAAACAUGCAUUUGUAUCUUUUUUUUUUUUAACUUACCUCCUUCCCAAAAAAGCCCUUCGACGAUCUCGAGAGCUCUUCGAUACCUCCAAUGGUCUCCUUCUCGACCCUUCAAAAACCCUUCUCUCUCCUCCUCCUAUCUCUCUCUUUCUCUCUCUCUCUCUCUCUUCGCGUGAUUGACUCCAUCGACUCUGCCUGAGGAAGAGAGAGAAGAGUAUGGCUUCGCUCUCCUCCCCGAAAUGCCCCUCCUCUUCCCACCAUGCCCCUGCGCCCACCUCCUUCACCGGGAACCGUCGAUUUGCGCCUUCUCCUGCGUAUCUAUCGCUUCGGCCCCUCCCAAAACGCUAUUUUUCGAAGUGGGUCUCCUCCAAUUCCCCCAAAAUCCGCCAUUGGAAUGUAGUUUCCAUGCGAGAUGGUAAUUUUGGGCCCUUUUUUUGCACCUUUUUUUUUUUUUUUCCUCUAUAGAUUUUGAGUAGGAUUUGUGUUAUUUGAUGUGUUUGAUUGUGUUAUUUGAUGUGUUUGAUGGUAAUAAAGUUGCUAUUAUGAUGAUGAUGUAAGGGGUUCUAAUUAUAGUUAUAAGAUUAGAGUGGAUUAGUGGCUAAUUACUUUAACCAUGAUUUAAUAUGUUUUUUAUUGCAGUGAAUUAAUCAGGUGAAGCGCGAUGUUUUAGUUUCCUACAACUGAUCUGUGGUGUGGUCACCAUUGUUGCUUAUUUAGAAGCUCAUGCAAAAAAAAAGAAGAAAAAAGAAGAGUAAAUAGGGCUCCUAGAUAUAUAUCCGUAAAGUUCAAGGAGUUAAGAGAAAAGGAAUUGCUUGAAAUGUCAAUGAUGACUCGCGUAGGUCGAACACUCCUAAGUCAAAAUUUGGUUUUUGUGUAAAAAUCUCUGAUGCCCAAUGUGAUGAGAAAUGUUUGUUAAAGAUUAUAUUUUGCUUGAAUCUAGUUUGAAGAACUUUCCGACACCGUCCUGGAGAUUCACUUAUGCUGUAUAUCUUUUGUUUGGCAUGUUUCUAUUCUAUUAAAAUGCAAGAUUCUUUUUUAGAGUAUUAUCUAUCUAAAAUAUGAAAUUGCUCUUGGUACUGAAGCGGCAACGGUGCCUAUGGAACCUAAGAAAGAAACCCCUUCGAAGGAGGUAGAAAAUGGUUCAAUAGAAACGGUAUCUUCGAAGGAAUAUCAAGAGUUAGCUGGUCUACGCAAUCAUGAGAAGGAUUCAACAGUUAGUAUCACCGUAGUUGGCGCAUCUGGUGACCUCGCAAAGAAGAAGAUAUUUCCCGCAUUGUUUGCUCUUUACUAUGAAGAUUGCUUGCCGGAGGUUUGCCCAUUCAAUUCUAUGCCUGUUUUCUUUUCUUUUCGUUGUUAACAAUUGACGUGCAUGGGCUUCAAUUUGGUUAAUGUUGGGUUUUGAUUUUAUUUUUUCAGCAUUUCACAAUAUUUGGCUAUGCUCGGAGUAAGAUGACAGAUGCUGAAUUGAGAACCAUGGUCAGCAAAACAUUAACUUGCAGAAUAGAUAAAAGGUGGCUGCGGCAAGAGAUAUUUAUAAUUAGUUUAGAAUAGUUUGAUAAUUGACGAAGUGUUUGUUAACUUUUUGUUUCACAUUUGCUAUUAGUACUAAAGGAUUUUUGACUUACAGGGAGAACUGCAGCGAGAAAAUGGAGCAGUUCCUUAAAAGGUGCUUCUAUCAUUCAGGUCAAUAUGAUUCAGAGGAAUGCUUCGCAGAGCUAGACAAGAAGCUAAAAGAACAUGAGGUAAAUGAACUUAUCCCUGAUCAUAACAUAAUGCUGAAAGAGCUUAAUCAGAUACCACUGUUUGGUUAUUGUUCAUUUUUCUGUUAAAUGGUGCUUAUUGUUCAUUUUUCUAGUUUUUAUGAUUGUUGGUUUUGGUCUCAUGUGUUGUUGGCUUUUAUGCUUAGAAAAAGGUUCUCUACUGCCAUCUUAUGUUUGCCACUUUUUUUUAUGCUGUUAUUGAUAAAUAUUUGUGGCCCAUGAACAUAGGUUGUUCGUCGGACCUCAUAAAUUUUUAUGCUUUUAAUUUUUACUGUCGCUUCCAACUUUUUUUUUUCCCCUCAGAGUGCAAACAAUGUGAAAAAUCUGAACUAUGCAGGGCUCAAGGCUUUCAAACCGCCUUUACUAUUUGUCAAUCCCUCCAAAUAUAUUCAUAGAUGUGGUAAAAUGUGCAAGCAAGUCAGCUUCGUCUACAAAUGGCUGGACUAGGGUUAUAGUCGAAAAACCUUUUGGUCGUGACUCUGAAUCUUCUGCUGCAUUAACGAGGAGCCUGAAACAGUAUUUAGAGGAGGAUCAAAUCUUCAGGUAAUUCUGCUCAUACUCUGAGAUUAAUUAUGGCCUGUUUGGCCAUGGCUGAGCUUUUGGUGAAGUACUGUUUGAGGAGAUUAAUUAUGCCUCCUCUGCAGCUUCUUGAUUGCAGCCACGAAUUGGAGUUUCUAUCUUUGGGACCAAAAGCAGCAGAAGCUUCUGAUUAUUUAUUAGCCACGAAUUGGAGUUUCUAUCUUUGGGACCAAAAGCAGCAGAAGCUUCCGAUUAUUUAUUAGCCAAACCCUAGUUUACAAAAGCUUCCACUUUCGAAAGUUGAGAAGCUAUUUCAGAAGCCAAGCGAGAAUAGACACUUAAUCUUUGCUCUAGUGAGGACUAAUUUCAUAAUUUGAAUGGUGUUUUUCUUUUCAUUGUAGAAUUGACCACUAUUUGGGGAAAGAGUUGGUCGAGAAUUUAUCGGUUCUUCGCUUCUCCAAUCUUGUUUUUGAGCCUCUUUGGUCAAGGCAAUAUAUAAGGAACGUACAAUUGAUAUUCUCUGAAGAUUUUGGCACUGAAGGAAGAGGAGGGUAAGAGUUUUUUAUUUAAUCUUAGCUUCUUUCUUUCGGGGUUUACAAUGAUGCGAUUUUAAAGAUUUGUAUUUGGUUCUUGUUUCCAUCUUUAGGUACUUCGAUAAUUAUGGCAUUAUCAGAGACAUUAUGCAAAAUCAUCUGCUUCAAAUAUUAGCAUUAUUUGCCAUGGAAACUCCUGUUAGCUUGGAUGCAGAGGACAUCCGGAAUGAGAAGGUUGUUUGAAUGCAUUAUAUAUUAAACCGAUCUAUUCUUUGUCAAUUGCUACUGGUAGAAAGUAGAAACAUAUGAAGAUUCUCCCAAUUAUAGAUCAUUUCGACAGUCUCAUUAAAUUUAUGCAUGUAGAUCAACACUCUUCAACCUUUUCUUUUCUUUUUCUAUUUUUUUUAUUCGAGCACUUUCAUCGAUCCAAGUGGAUUUGCAGUGAGGAACCAACCUCAAUGUCAACACAUGUGAUCACGUGACUAUUUUUUGCUUAUGAAGAUUAAUGUUUACUUUUAAGGAAAUUCUCAAAUAAGAAAGGUAAUGUGUAGUUAAGGAACCUAUAUGAAAAAAACCUGUAGUUGGAGUUCUCCCUGUACAUUUUUCCGAUUAUUGUUCUUUAGGAAGGUUACUGUAAAAAUUAGGCUGAAUACACAGUUAAACAUCCUGUGACACAAUUAAUUUCCAUGUAAUUUAGGUGAAAGUAUUGCGCUCAAUGAAGCCCUUGCAACUGGAAAAUGUGGUGGUUGGGCAGUACAAAAGCCACACAAAGGGUGGGAUUAUGUAUCCUGGAUAUACAGACGACAAGACCGUACCAAAAGAUAGCUUGACUCCAACAUUUGCAGCCGCUGCCCUUUUUAUAAAUAAUGCUCGAUGGGAUGGAGUGCCUUUUCUUAUGAAGGCCGGAAAAGCGUUGCAUACAAAACGGUAACAGUUCUCAAUUAUCUGCUGUUUCUUAAAUUGUUGCAAUUUGGUCCUCAACUUUUCAAUUGUCACUACUGGGUCCCUAAUCUUUGCAUGUUGUUGUGAUCUUACUCUCUUGGAUAAGUUCUCUCAUCGAAUGGGGCUGAAAUAUCCAUGUACUUUUUGGUGAAAAGUGAAAAAAAUACAGAUCUAACCUGCACUAUAAUGCAUGCAUGUUAAAAUGUACCCAAAAUUAGAUCUUAAGUGGUUUUUUCUGUUAGUGGUUUGAUUGACUAUGAAACUUUGUGUGAACACAGGGCAGAGAUCAGAGUGCAGUUCAGGCAUGUUCCUGGUAAUUUGUACAAGAGGAGUUUCGGGACCGAUCUCGAUCGAGCCACAAAUGAGCUCGUCAUUCGGGUCCAACCUGAUGAGGCUAUUUAUUUGAAGAUCAACAACAAGAUCCCUGGUCUGGGGAUGAGAUUGGAUAGAAGCAACCUGAACCUUCACUAUGCUGCAAGGUAUGAAUACUCACUUUUUCCAUGUAACCUUUUGCAAAAUGAAAUUUCUUCAAACCUAACUGUUAUUUCCAGUAGUUUGUUUAAAAGUCCUCUUCAGAACAAUCAUAAAUCACAUUGAGCAACAGAAGAAAUAAGAUGGUAUAUUUUUCUGUCUUUGAAAAACUAGAAAAUACUCACUUUUUACAUAUAACCUUUUGCAAAAUGAAAAUUCUUCAAACCUAACUGUUAUUUCCAGUAGCUUGUUUAAAAGCCCUCUUCAGAACAAUCAUAAAUCGCAUUGAGCAACAGAAGAAAUAAGAUGGUAUAUUUGUCUAUCUUUGAAAAACUAGAGAAUUUUUGUAUUGAAUAAUUUGCACACUUCCAAAUUCUGUUGAAAAUAUCAUCUUUGCUUUAGCUAUAAAAAUUUGUUAAGUAGGUGACUAUAAGGCAUGAUGAUUCAGCAUUUAUUUUUUCAAAUAUGAUGUUCAAAUUCAUAUAUCUAUGAAAAACUGAACAAUUUUCAACUCAAUUUGCAGUUUGUCUACCUUUUAACUUCAUACAUUUCGCGGCAUCAAAGUGACGCAUCUGCAUACUUUGCCAAAUUUUUAGCAAAACUAACAUUGGUUCAUCUGACAAAACUGAUAACGCAUAACUUUUAGCUAUUUUAACAUUUAUUAGUGUUCUAUUCAUAAUUACCAUUGUUCAUGACGAACCAACUUAAAUCUUAUCUUACGGGUUUAUUAUUUCUUUUUAUAUUUAGAUACUCGAAAGAGAUUCCUGAUGCGUACGAGAGGCUCUUGCUCGACGCAAUUGAAGGGGAAAGAAGGCUCUUCAUUCGAUCUGAUGAGUUAGAUGCUGCAUGGGCGCUGUUCACUCCUCUCCUCAAAGAGCUAGAGGAGAAGAAGAUCGUUCCAGAAUUGUAUCCUUACGGGAGCCGCGGACCAGUCGGGGCCCACUAUCUCGCAGCCAAGUACAAUGUUCGAUGGGGCGAUCUUAGCUCCGAGCCCUACAAGGCUUGAUUUAUAGAUUUCACGAUUUUUCUCCUUCCCCCCCUUUAGCAGAGUGAUAUUUGCGCAGUAAAUGAAUUAGAUUAGAUGGAUGAAAUAGUGUGGAAAUAAAGUUGGAAUUCCCUUCUACAAUGAAGGACUGAUUUAGGUUUUAUGAUGCGAGUGUUUCUAUAUAUGUAUAAUUUUGUUCUUUCAUAUCAAUUGCCCAUCGAGAUCCAUUGAGGCAUUAAGUAGAACAAGCACUGUUAUUUUAGCUAAUCAUUUAGUAUUGUGGAUUCUUUACAUGGAUUAGAUUAAGCCGACUUAUUCCGAGAUAAACCGCAGAGCAGAUGCACUGUAAUUCUGGUGGAAAAGUUAUUUGAUGGUUCAUCUUGUGCAGACGACUUUCCUUAUUCAAUGCCCUGGCACAUACCCUGCUGAGCAGAUCUUUCCUAAUCCUUGCUGUGUGCCGCGCCGCUUCUGCAAUUCAAAGACUUUGUGAGGAACUUACAAAUUUGCGAUUGUUUAAUUCAUAGUCUUUGCAAAUUUGGAGGAUAAUGGAUUGCUUUAGUUAGCUUCACAGCUUGAUUUUAUUCUUUUGGUAAAGUAAACCCUGAAAGGCUAUGAAAUUAUUGUGGGAAAUGCUCUUUUUUAUCUUUGAGUGUCGCAAUUUUGCUUCAAUUUUGCUUUGAAGUAUAUGGUUACUAAAUGCCAUAAUUGGGUGGAAGUGUUAAACUAGUACAUAUGUUUUCAUAUCUGCAUUACUAAGAUGGAUGCAAGAACACAUCUAAGAAAAGUACUUCGUAGCUUUGACUAAUUUCUAACUGGUUUCUUGUGCUAGUCACAGACUCACAGAGCAUAAACCUUCUGUGUAAGUUAAACUUAGGGCACAUUCAGCUUUGCUUCCCAAAAUGCGCAGUCGAGAAAUGGUGCCCCCUUAAUCCCAUGGUAGCAGACCCCUUUGGAGCAGGCCAUGAUUCACUCAGAAUCAGCACCUAAAUAAAAAAGAGAAAGCGCUUUUGCACAGUAGACACAUACCUUAAGCUUAAGACAAAAAGAGCGAAAAAAAAAAAAGCCAUUAACCAUCCAACCUAGAAAACAAAAUUCAAGGUCAUUACAGAUCAUAACUCAACAGCGUCAGUCAAAAUUUGAAGACUCCGCAGUGUAUGCAAAACUCGAAAUGUAAGGAGCUCAAAAUGAAAGCCAGACGUCUGAACCUAUUAUUUGCCAACGAAAAAUUCGGAUUAAUCCUAUGAAGCACUACCCUGCAUCCUAUUUGACAUUUUCUUAGUAAUAAAUACAAUGCUGAAAUAUAUGACUCUUAACAGAUCAAGCAGAAGAACUUGGAUCAGCUCUCCGGUUGCUAAACUUGCUGUAGCUUCGCGCUACCCCUGGUUCGGAUAAGGUAUCCCACACCUAGAAAAAGAAAGCGCACAAUAUGAAUGAGUAUGAAGAGCACAGCCAUAAGGUAAAACAGGGUAAAGAUGGAAUUUUACGCUUACCUGCAAUCGGCCCUUGGAUCCUCCAAUGGCUAAUGAGAACGGACUGUCCUCUGAGAAGGAUACAGAGAAAAUAGCUCCCUGAUAACAAGAGGUAUAUAGAAGAAAGCAUUAUAAUGAGGAGCUUUUUUUCGAUUAAAACGAAAAUUGCUGAUUUAAGUAGUUAGUUUAGUAUAGGAGAAUGGCUUUAGCCUAUUGAAAUGUCUUAUUUAUAAUCAUGACAUUUAAAGACAGUUGCAUUCCACUUGUCAGGUGAUUUAUGAUAUUCUCGAAAAUUGGGAGUAAUUACUUCUCAAUAACUUUCCAGCAUUUUUUCUCAUGCCUCUCAGCAACUAUCUAAAAACAAUACUCGAGUAAGCAAGAGGAGAUAUCCUGGAAAAGUUAUUCUAGCACCUCAAUUGGCCCUAAUUAUCACACCACAGGGAGUUCACUAAGCAUCACAUGCUCUGCUGAUUUCAAUGAGCACAGGUGGAUAAGAAUAUUGACAAGGAGCACAGGAAAUUAGAAGAAGGAAGCAUCGUAAUCUUGUCCACAAAUUGCAGCAAUUAUACAAGAAAAACUCAGAUUUAGUGGACGUCAACACAGAGAAUGGGUGACCUUAAAAUAAAGCUUGAAACACUAAACAAGAUCCAAGUACUUUUUCUCAGUUAGGGUAACGCCACUAAAUAAAAUCAAGUCAUUAGAUGAUACCAAUGAAUUGUUAUAAAGGCAAUAAAGUCAAAAGUUUUUUUUUUUCUUUUAGACUUACAGCUUUUGGAUUCCGAGAUGCAACACAUGAUGGUUGGUUGUUUGAUAAGUCCCAAAUUUUUACCUAUGUUGUCACAAGUAGAUUAGUAAGUAGUUGAGUGUUAAAUAUACGAGUAUUGAACAUAAAUAUAAAUGACAGUGCAUGUAUUACCAUUUUAUCCAUUGAACCGGUUGCAAGAAGCUGCACGGGAGAAAGAUACAAGCACAUAAAAUGAAAAUGAAAAAGUUCAAAAACACCACGAGACUAUGAUUCCAAAAUAAAAGAGAAAAUUAAACAUAAGAACGUACAUUCGGGGCAGAUGGGCUGAAGGAGACAGAAGAAACAGCUUUUUCAUGUGCAUGAAGAGUGAAAGUUGGUUUAGCACCAGAGCUUGAAUUUGAUGAUGCUACUCGGCUAUCGAAGCCUUGAACAAUACCAUUUUCAAGACUGACCUGGAAGAUAUUGAAAACUAUAAAUUACAAAAGGAGAGGGAGGAGGACACAAGAAUAUUAAAGUAACUUAAAACCAGAGUAUGACAAUAAUAAUAAGAAUACUUUGGUCUGGCCACUCAAAGAAAUGAAAAACCGGACCCAACAGGGAUUAUCUCAUGUGCUGAAAUUUGAGGCCUGGUUGAACCAAUGAACUGGGCCAAGUCUGACUCAACUGGGCUUGCUGGGUCGGGCAGGGCAAGCUUAAUCUGCUCAAGCCCUCUGCCAAACAGAACCAAAGUCCUGUAGUUAUACAAAAUUUCUACCUCAUUAUAUAAAGUGGACUACUUAGGAUCCUCACAUUCCCUUGGCCAGGGAUGAAGGGGGAGAAAAAGAUCUUUGCAACCUCAAUAAAUGUGGCAUGGUUACAUUAGACUUACCACAAAUGAAUGUUCAUUAUGCGGAUCCCAUGCCAAGCUCUCAACAUCAGCCAUGACAGACCAUUUAUCAUGGGCACGUUCACCAGAUCUCAUAUCCAUCUGCAUAGUGUGCAAUGCAUGCAAAACAUUAAGUACAAACAGAAAUUGAUGCUUUAGCUCAUUUAUAUAUAUAUCACCAAGACUGGCAAAAAGCUUUUUCUUUUUAUUCUAUACAAUUCUCUUUUAUAUUUAUACUCCUGAAGUAAAGAAACUUUGAAAGUGAAUGGAAUCUGCAAAAUUAUUAUAAAAUGAAAACUUUGAGAACUUCACAAAUACCAUAACUAAAAUUCCUUACGAUGGCAACCGAUUGAUCAAAAGAUCCACUUAGUAGUAUUUCAGGGGAAUGCCGGUUCCAUGCCACUGCCUGAACCUGUUGCAAGCAUCAAAUUUAUUAGUAUUUUCAGAGAAAGAAAAUUUAAUGGCAAAUCAUUAAAUCAUUUUUUAAAAAAAUAUGUUAAGCAAGAUAGUUGAUUCACUAGUGGAUCGAACUCAAAUUUAGCCUAAACAAGAUGGUAUUUGUCACAUCAAACAAGGAAAAAAAAUCUAGGAGAAACAUAACCUCAUAGUGCCUAAACAAGGUGAUGCUCUUGUCCAACCUACUGAACAAAGAUUAGUAAAUAACAACCAAUCAUGUCAAAUCGAAGAUUCUAACCAAGGUGAUGCUCAUAGUCCCUAAACAAGGUGUUGCUCUUUGUUCAUAUUGACUAUGUUUUAGAAAAAAGAAUAACGUAUUGUGAAUAAAUAAUGUCCUUAUUCAGAGGAUAAAAGGAAUGCCAAACUUCACAAUCAUCCAAAAUACUAAUGAAAAAGUUAUUACUUUUUCAUUACGAGAAAAACAAAAUACUGCCGGAAGCAUCUUGACCAAAAUAGUGAUGAUCAACAAGACAUAAAACAGUCAUACUGUUUAUAACUCUUAGAAAGAUAUAAACAAUGUAAAAUUAAUCCAUUUACAAGGAAAUAGAUCGAGAUAGAAGUAUAACAAUUUAGUGCACUACACAAGAGAGAGAGAGAGAGAGAGAGAGAGAGAGAGAGAGAGAGAGAGAGAGAGCGCAAUUGCCUUGUCCUUAUGAUGCUUUAGGGUAAUGACGCAUUUCUUAGUGACUAGGUCCCAAAUCUUGAUGGAUUUAUCAGCACUCGCACUGGCUAGAACAUUCCUGAAUUUCAGAACAUGAGAAUCAAGAUAAGAAAAGAAAAAUUCAGUUGACUCGGAAAAAAAAAUAAAAAGUUGAAUCACAGUAAACCAACUACAUACUCACCGAACCUCCUUAUUCCAUGCAAGGCCAAGUACAGAGUUUCUAUGACUAUCUUUCUUGUACUUCUGUACGGUCAGCAAAUACAAUUAAAAUAAUCAGCAUGACACAAGUACUUUACAACUUUUGUUAAAAAAGCAAAAGAGAUAAUCAUAGGGCACUAGCACAUUGCAAGCAGUCAAAUGAUAAGCGGGUAAGAAUAUUAAGAAUGUUAACUUAGAAAAAUAUAACAAAUAUAUAUAUAUAACUAAAAAAAAAUUAUAGAUACUGGAAAAAGGAUUUGAAAACAUACUCAGAAUCUUUAACUUAGAAUAUUUAAUUAAGGAUGUUAAAUACAAAGAAUAGUACAGCAGAAACUAAAAUGUUGAUGGUCGAGUGGGACUUGGGAUUUGCGAUCCCAGGUAAGAUCAGUUCAGGAUCAUGGGAUCUUUUCUUGGCUGUAUACUAGGGCGCAUAGGUUGAAUCAGAGAACAUUUUAUUCAGCAUAGGCAACAAAAGUGCUUCGUGCAUACGACUUGCAUCAGCAAACAUAUGGCAAGAAAUGUAUACCUUCUUCCCGUUUUCCUUCUUUUUCUUUGAAACACCCCCUAAAACCAUGAAUGGCAGGACCUCCUCAGUCUGACAAUGGCAAAGAAGAACAUUAGAGAAGGUUAUAACCACAUGAAAUAUGAUGAUAGCAUGGAGCAGAAAGACACAGGAAAACAACAUAUCAUGAAGCAAAUAAAUUCAUAUUGUGAAUUGCAUACCAGAUCUAGGUCCCAUAUUUCAAUAGCAGGUUCCAUGGAGCCCACAGCUAUGAAGUUCCCUGUCAAAUCCACACACAUACACACGCACACGCACAAAAAAAAGAAUCAUGCACAGGCAUAUUGAUUGAACAGCAACAUAGGUAGGCGCUCAAAUUUCCUUAGUUCUGAUUUAAUUAUUUCCAUCAGGUCAACUGGGGAUCCAUUAUUGUGAUUUAUUAAAUUUAAGGGCUGCGCCUGCUUUUUAGCUAACAAAGUUACAUGUUUUUACUAAAUAUUUUUAUUAACAAUUAAUUGCUGGUAACUAACAGAACAACCACUUUUGUGGUACUCUCAACAGAAAGAGACAAAAGUUGAUAGGGUGUCAAAAAUAAUAAUAAAUAAUAAUAAUAAAGUAUAACAGUCUAUUUUAAAAUCCCUACUGUCAAGGGAGUCUCUGUACAUUUUUACAUUAUUAAUAUCCAAUUAUAGGAGAAAGAGAUGGACAGAUGGUCUACCUUUAUCACCACCUUUAAGGUUACAGUCCAGCCAAGCUAUGCAGAGGGGAAAAGCUGAAAGGAUGACAUCAUGAUGAACAUACAUGUUUGAAUUCCCAUCCUCUGUUUCCUCAUAGAUCCAAACCUAUCACAUAGACAUAUACAACAUCGUUCAGCACUGAACACGUCUUUAACUAGAGUCCAAAUAACAGUGGUUAAAGCAAUAAGCAAUCAUUCCAGGAAUUUGAAGGAUUUGUCAUUGGAUAUGCAAAUAUACCAAAUUCCUCAACCCAUGAGGCACUAUUCAAGAUCUUAAUUCAAUGCAUAUCCAUCAACUUAAAAACUCCGCUCAACUUGUAAUAGCAGUUGAGCUACAUGAAUACUUCAACUAUGUUUUGAUAAGGUUUGUCCGAAGCAGGUGGUCACACUCAAAGGUUGAAUCAAAAUCAAGCCAUGUAUGUCUCUGCAUGCAAGCUUAUUAAACAUAUGUACACCAAAUAUAAUCCAUAAAAAAUACAAAGAUUGAAACUGCAGCAACAUUGUUUAGAUCAAAAACCCAAAUUAGAAUUAUUGAACCAACAAAAUUCAAUUUCACAUAAUUCCAUCAAAGUUUGAGGGGAAUGUAUUGAACAUCUAUGAAUUAUCAACAGUAAAUAUGUAAAAAGCUAGCUUUAUAUUGGAAAAACACAAACGCGAGUACAGUUCACUCAAAUGAAUUUCAUCACUAUAACUUGAGAAUAGAAAGGUUUCACGCUUCGAAGUGGCCUGCAUAUCAACUACAUAGGUGCAGACACUAGCAAAAAUGUAUUCAGCCUAAAUAGAGUACCAAACAUUGGCAAAAUAUAGUUAGUCUUUUGUUACUAUGCCCCUAAUUGAUAGCACAUGGCAGAGAAAAUAUAAAACUUUAUUCAAAGUGGCUAAUGACAGUCGACAAGUCAUUAACAUAUAAAGGACAGCAAAUGAAGUGCUAACAAGGUCACAGAUACAUGCCUCAAGAUGGUUGACUUCAUCCUCAUUACGUGCACAAACUAUAACUGCAUCAGUAGGCUUUAUGGUCAUGUCUUCGAUCUCUUCUUCAUCCUCAUCAUCCUGCUUGAAACAAUCUGAACAGUUUACUUUCAACAAUUUACAAAAAAUAAAAGAAAAUAAAAUAUCUGUGUAGAGGAAAAAAGAAGAAAAAACUCACAUCCUCAUUUUGCAGAUAAGGAUCCAUAUCAUUACUUGGAUAAUAAAGAUCUCCAAGUCCAGUACUAAAAAGCUCGAUGUCUAAGGAAAAAAGAAUACUUAGAAAAACCAACAGCUCAUUUUUUCUUUCUUAAUUAAAACACAACAACCAAAAAUGCCCAUAACCCAUCCCCAUAGAUUAUCAAAGCCUGCAGAUAACCCCUAGAUUGCAAAGGUUAGCACCUUGCCCUAUUCCAUAAGUUGGUAGGAUUUUCUGAUAAAUCAAGGGAUUAUCUAUAGGAUUUUCUAGUACGUCCAGGGGUUUUUCUAUAUAUUGUUUAAACAAGAAUGUUGGUGAGGAAAAGGCACCUUCAUCCUCAUCAUCAUAAUGAUCCAUGUUAAGUUCCCGAAGGAUAUCAGAGAUAUCUUGAAGAUCAGCAGAGCUCUUAGUAACUUGGUCCUUGCCAAGAGCCUUUGCUGCAGCCAAAGCAUGGGCAACCUCAUCCACUUCUUUCAGAUUAUCUACAUCCAUCUCUUCAUCUUCCUCGCUCUCUCCACUGCAAAUUUCAUUCCAAAGAGGACAAAAUCGUCAGUAACAGCUGUUUUUUAAGCGAAGCAAAGGAUCACUUCUAACAGGAAGGCCCUGCGACAACACCUUCUUUCUAAAACUCCACUCUUCAAAACUUCUUCUAUUUCCUCUUUAGAGGGUUGCUCUGCAACAAGUGGGACAAUCUUUGAAGCGCCCUUGGGGAUCCAUGAUAUGGCGGAAAUCAUCUUCGUCACCAAAACAAAAGGAAGGAGAAUAAAAACAUCAGAAAAAACAACAUUUUUAUACAAAAGGAUCCUGUAUGGAAAAGAGCUGCUAAUAAAGCCUUUCGAUUUCCCAAUGUAUAUAUCUUUGACACCAAAAUGGUCUAAAUCCCAAAUAAGAGAUAGAUAUGCAAUAAAGCAUGUUCAAUUCAAAUUUCAUAAACAAACUAUUCUCACAGACUAGCAGAUUAGCAAAAGUUGAACAAGAUGAUCACAUUUUGACUAACAGAUCAUCAAAAGAGAGAAUAAAUAUUUCCCCUCAAUUUUCUUUCAUCACAAGUUAAACUUGCUACCAUAAGCUAAAAAAAUAAGUGCCAAUUUAGGCCAAACUUCCACAAGCUCGUCGAGCCGAACAGGGAAAUGAGAAUAGGAUCUGUUCAGUUUGCAACUGGAAUACAAAAUCAGAAGCAGAAAAGUCAAAUCUUUGAGCACAUCUAACUUGCAACUAGAAUCAGAAUCAAUAUAGUUUGUUCUAGCAGAACCAAAGCGCAGGAUUUCGUACUUAUGGUGGCAAUGGUGGUGCUUAUGGCGCUCGAAAUGUCGAAGACGAUAGUGAUUGUCUUGAUCGAAAGAGAUAGAAUGUCAACAUGGGAGUAUUACAUCAUAUGAUUCAAAAUUUGCAAAUUUAUCUUCAAAAUUCUAAACCCAAAGACAAAAUUGAAGUGUAGGCGUAGUGUUCUUUGCGAGAAAAAUAAAAAUUGAUACAGCAACAUAACAUUAUACAUGAUUACCACAUUCAAACCACCAGCUUACAGAAUCAAAUAUCCUAAUAAGUUUCGAUUUUGACAUACGCCCAUCAUAUUCUGAAACCGAGGGCACGACAAAAAGCCCAUAAACUCAUCAAAUCCUCCAAAAAAACAGUUCCAAAAACAAAAAGAAAAAGAAACACUGAUUCCUAUUCAAACCAACUGAGAGAGAGAGAGAGAGAGAGAGAGAGAGAGAGAGAGAGAGACUUUGGAGAUGAGAUGAUCGGAGAGGCGGAGGAGGGAGAGGGGUUUUGCGCAGCGCAGGAGCGGCGACGUUCGGAGUAGGGCUCGGUAUUGAACCGAGCUUCUGUAGUAUAUAUAGGACGAACCCGACCGGGUUGGGGAAAUUAUUCGGUGAACUUAGUUCACCACGUUAAAAAAAACCAGUUUCAGUAAUUUUCUACGUGAACCUGGUUCACCUCGUCAUCUGUGGACUAGAACGGGGUUUGUGGUGGAGAAAUUCUACACUGUCACGCUUGCACUACAUCAUCAAUAAUAGGCUAAUCAUAUUCAUUCUUUUCAAACAAAAGUACAAUAAAAAUAUUUUUUUAUAAUUAUGAUGAAACAUAUAUCUCUAAAAAGAUACAUUUGAUUGAUUUGUCACGCCAUGUCACCAUUAUACCGUUGCAUUCUAGAAUUUUUCGUUGUGGUGGGUUGAUGACAUGCUGCGGUCCACAGAUGAUUUGGUGACGUAGGUUCAUUGUAUAGUUUUUCUCUGAUUCCAAGUAUAGUUGAUGAUACGGGUACACGAAAGCCUCCCAUGAAACGCUGAAAACAGUGGGUGUUUCAUUUUUGGGGGAUGCUUUCGGGUCCGCGAAGCAAUUGCACGCGCCGCACUUAUUACCUUUCCAAAUUUACAAUUAAGCCCUUCAUAAUCGUGUCGACAAUCGCAAAACCCUUCUCUCUCUUUUUCGCGCUCGUUCGGUCGUCUCUCUCUCUCUCUUCUCAAACCCUAGGGUUUUACUUGAUUCGUAUCAGCUCGAUCUCCAUGGCCUCCGAAACCCUCGACGAGAAGAAGAGCCAGGACGAUGGAUCGGGCCCUGUAGAUGACGAGGAGGAGCCCAUGGAGGAGGAUGAGGAGGAACCGGCGACUCCGGCGGCGGCGGCGGCGGCGGAGGAGGAGGAGGAAGGCGGAGAGGACGGAGAAGAGGAAGCGGAGGAGGAGGAGGUGGAGGGAGGAGAGGUGAAGGAGCAGGAGGAGGAGGGGAAGGUUGAGGGGGAGAAGGGGAAGAGGGGGAGGAAGAGGGGCGUGGGGGAGAAGAAGAAUGGGGAUGGGGAUGCGGAGGAGGAGAAGAAGCAGAAGAAGAGGAGGAGGGGUUCGGUGGUGAGGGAGAGGGCGACGCCGGCCGUGGAGAGGCCAUCGAGGGAGAGGAAGGCCGUGGAGAGGUACACGGCAUCGGCUUCUCGGAGUGCUUCCUCAAAGAAGGUCCCUUCGAUCUUGCAGGUGAUAAUUACGGUUUUCUAAAGACUAAAAAACUUGUGCUUUAACUAAAGCUGGUUGCUUUUGGCUUAGUUUUUAAUAUGAUGGGCUUUUCAGGGUUCUGGAACCAAGUUGAAGGACAUCCCAAAUGGUACUACGAAUUGCUCUUGAUCCAUUUGGUCUUUACCUUUCCUUACAUGUUUAAGUUUCCCUUUUGUGUUGUCUUAUUGUUAAGAUGGUCCAACAUUGAAAAUUGGCAAAAUUGGAAGCAUCUGACAGGACUUAGAAGCUAAUUUCAGCUUCUUGUGACAGCCAAUGCUCAUAUAGCUUCUUACUGCAUCAAUAGAUUUAGCCUUUUUCUUUGCCUCUGCUAAAAUUGUUGGUACUGAAGCUGUUCUAAAACCAGGCCAAAUAGGCAGUUAGUCUCAUAUAAUAGUAUGUUCUUCUCUAUUUUUGUGGAUAUAGUUAGUUGUUGUUACUUUUAAUUGAAGUACUAACUUUAGUGCAAGUUUUAUCUGGGUAGCUGGAUAGGAUGUGAAUGAUUCCUAUUUACGUGGAAACGCUUUGUCGAGUUUUAUGGUCUGCUUGUCUUUUGAUAAUGCUGAGAGGAUUUUGGCGUGAAUUUCUUUUUUAAAGCCGUGCACUUCCUUAACAAUUAGCUAUUUGUGUUUGCGUUACUAAUGUUGCUAGCUCUAUCAGUUUCCUUCAAGUUGUCAAAAAGAAGGAUAGACGAGAAUCUCCAAGUUCUUCAUACAAUCCUUUUCGGAAGGAAGUCAAAUGUAAGACUUCCUUUAAGCUUUUCUAUCAGCUACUGCUCUCGUGCUAAAAUAUUCUAAAUUCAUGGUCAAGGUUUUGUUUGCAGGCCCAUUAUUUGAAAAGAAACAUUUCCCAGUUCUCUGGUUUUGUGUGGGGUGAGAGUGAGGUAAUGUGACUCUCUACUAGCUUUUUUUUUCACAUAAAAAAGAUGUGUUCUGUGGAAUAAUUGGUAUUGAGAUUUGUUCAUGCAUAUUGAUUGAACCCUGUUAAUUAUGAAGACUGUUGAAUUACUUGGCAACUUGUCUUUAAGCUACUUAUUUUAGCUUCUUAUCUUAUAUUGAUCAUGCAUAUAUGCUUAAGAAAAUUUUCAUAUAUUCAGGAAAAGCAGAAGGCUAGACUCAAAGAAAAGCUUGAUAAAUGCAACAAAGAGCGGUUACUCGAUUUCUGCGAGCUACUUGAUAUACAUGUUAACAAAGCCACUACGAAGAAGGUUUGACCAGUUUAACAAAGUGAUCCUCUCUUUUUACGUGCCAAAGACUUUGUGCUCAUGUUACAUUGUCCUUUCAGGAGGAAAUCUCUGCAAAAUUGGUGGAAUUCUUGGAAUCCCCUCAUGUUACUCGAGAUGUUAUACUUUCUGAAACACCUGAGGUGUUAUGCUUUGCCAAUUCAAAGUGCCUUUUAGUAUCCCCGUUUGAGUUUUGGAGUACUUCAUGUGUUUACCAUUUUCUUGCAGAAAGGUAAGAAACGCAGGAGGGCAAAAGGAAUCACUCCAGCAACACUAGGAGAAGCAUCUCCAGAUAAAGAAUCAAAGGUUUCUUUCUAAUCAGCCAUUAUUUAGCUUAUUGUUUAUUUUUACUUAUGUUGACACUUGUAUACCUAGUUUACCACCUUGACUAGAUUAAAGAAAAAUACUUAAUUUUAGUUCAACGCAAGAUCAUAUUAUUAGGACAAGGUGAUGAAAGCGUCUUAGGAUUUUUGCUUCACCUUCACCUGAUCAAGCACACUGAGAAUGAUAGACACCUAAGCAUGAAUUCAAGCCUUCUUUAAACAAGUGAGAAGGCUAUACUGAAAAUGAUCUAUGAAGAAAUUAUAGGACUUUGAUUGUCUUGUAAUGAUAAGCUUUGUUACCAAAUUAUCAUCCUUGAUAAUAUGGUAGCUCUUUUUCUUCUUCACGUAUUGAUAUUUGAAGCACUUUUUUCUGCAACAGAGAAAGGGUUAUAAAAGAUCAGUUGAAGCUGAGAACGAAAACGAAGAUGAAGGUGGUUCUGCUGACUCAGCAAAGGAUGCAUCUAUUGAAGCAGAAGAUAACGAAGAGUCAGAUGAAGAGAGUGAGCACGCUAAGAGUGAGCAGGAGAAUGAGGAAAGUGAACCUGAAGAGCCCACAGCAAGCAAUAAAAGAGCUAGUAAAAAGGAGAAGACUUCUACUGGUAAAAAAGCCGCUUCUGCAAAUUCAAGUAGAAGCUCUAAAGUUGUUCCAAAGAAGGUGGAAGUAGAAGAUGAACCGGAUGCACAACUAGAAAGCAAAAAAACCUCAAAGGCCUCAACAAAGCGGAGAAAUGUGGUCAAGAAGGGUUUAGACAAAACAAAUAAAGGGGUUCCAGAUUCUUCUUCAGGGAAAAAAGUUGCUUUGGAUGACCAUAAAUCCAGUCAAUCUACAGUCUCCAAAUCGAGAAAGGAGGAUCAAAGGAAGGGUCAAAGUAAGACUACUGCUAAUAAGAACACUAAGUCUAUCAAGAAGCAGGUUGCUAAGGUGGAUUCAAAGGUUUCCACCAAAAAACAAGGUGUGAACAUUUGGACUCUUUUCUUGUGUGCUUCCUUCUUUUGAUGUUUGCUAAAAGUUGUUCAUGUGUGCUUGACUGUAUAUUUUAAUGUGUGAAAUCCUGGUCGAUCUGAUGUAGCUAUGUAAAUCUGAUUUUGUUUAAUUCUUUUAGUUUGUUGCUAAUGUUUAAAUAGAAGAUGCGAGCACUUUUUUCUUGUUAGGAUGAAUGAUGAACCUUGUGCAUCAUUUCAUCUCAAGUUUCCACAUCAAUAUAUAGCGGAACAUUUUUCAGACAUCAGAUUUUCUUGAAUUCAUCUUAUCAGUCAGAUUGAGAUAUAAAGUGACAAAAGCCAGAUUAAUACCUCUGACAACAUGCCACUCACCUUCCACACCUUUUCAUCAUAGCCCUUUUUCAUGUAUAGUACUUGAAUAUCUGAAUAAUGGCCAACUUCUGAGCUGAAUAAUAGAUCCUUGUUUGUGCUGUUGGCUGCAUAUAUAACCAGACAUAUGCUUCAACCUACAAGGCCAUAAUAUCCUACUUUUGUUAUUAAGUUUGUUCCCACCCUCAUGAUACUAGGAAAAGGCAAGGCAAGUCGAGAUGCCAACAGUGGACCCAGCACGGAAGAAUUGCAUGCUGUGAUCAGCAAAAUUUUGAAACAAGUGGACUUCAAUACGGUGAAUACUUGCUGACUUAUUGAGUGAUGUUUCUCUUUUUUUCUUUUUUCUUUUUUUCCUCGCCCCAGUACUAACCACAAAUUGGCUGAUUCGCAGGCAACUUUGGCUGACAUUCUCCGUCAAUUAGGUACUUAAUUCUGUUCUUUUUUUAUACCAACUGUUCAGUGUAUUCUGUGUCAGUGAAAUUUUACCUGUUGAUCAUUCAUAUGGGGGGUUUACUAAAUAUUUCUGGCAAAACCUACGAUGCUUUUUCCCAAUUGGAAGGUGGUCCCCUAAGUUUAAUUUGAUGCAAAGCAACUAACCAAUAUAUUUCUACAACUGCAAUGGGCCCAAGGAGCUUGAUUUGAUGUAAAUGGCAUAUCAAUUAUUUACUUUAUUGGCAGUUUUGUUGCUGUUUCCAUGCUGAUACUUUUAAUUGGAAAGAGAACUUGUUUUUUUUUUUUUUUCCUUUUCCCCAAAUGCACAUGAUGGGGAAUAAUAUCUACUUGAUAAUGUGGUUUUUUCCUUUUUUUUUCUUUUUUGGUACUGAAUCAAACUCAUAAGGGUUAAGUUGCAAAUCAAGAUCAGUAUGCUUCCUGCCACCAAACUAAACUUAAUGGACCAAUGAUUAGGGGGGGGGGGGCGCGGGGACGGGUGGGCAGGGCCGGGGAGCCGCGGGAUCGUCUCGGUGGGGUGGAAGCUUCUGAUACUUAUUCGAGAAUGAUAGCUGUAUUACUGCUCGGUGAAGAGGAGACUUGAAGUAUUUGAGCACGUUUUAAACAGUUGCUUUGGUUUUAUAUGCAGGGAUUCAUUUUAAUGUGGACAUGAUGGAUAGGAAGGCAGAGGUGAAGCGAAUAAUAGAAGAUGUAAUAAAUAGCAUGACGGAUGAUGAGGAAGAAAGCGAGGAUGACGACAAUGAUGGUGGUGAUGAUGCUGGUGGUGAAGCAAAUGAUGAUGAUGGGGGGGAAGAAGAUCACAAGGAAGAUUCAGAUGCAGAUGAUGAUAAGUAACUUAACCAAUUUUUUCCUCGCCCUUUUCUGGCAUGUAUAUGGAGUCAGCCAUUCUCUCUUGUGCUUACUUUUUCUUUUCUGGGAGGAUUUGAGUAACUCUUUUGAUGUACCAGAUAUCCGAGCCUAGUGGCUCCUUGUACAAUAGUCUCCUCAUUAGAUUUUUCUUCUUAAUCUUUCCUGUAGGCAGGUUAGUCUCGAAUGUAAUGUUAAAUAAUUUUUGGCUUGUUGGUCUGAUCAUUGAAUGUAGUUUCAGAAAACCUCAUGAUCCUGUGAUUCAAAUACCUUUCAUGGUGAAUGUCCUUCGAUGAGAAAUUAAAUAAUCCUUCAAUUACCAAAAGGAACCAUGUUUCAAAUUUUGCGUUUGUACCUUGCAUCAAUCACUGUGUGAAGAAAGCUGUUGCUGUAAUUUUUGUAAGAAAACUGGUUGCGAAAAUGCUUGCCCUUUCUAUUCCCUGCAUUAUGAAUUGCCUUUAAGAAAAAAGAGAUGACUUGUGUGCAUUUUUUGAGUGUUGUAAUAUUGAUCAUUGUAGGAGUGAGUUGUCUAUAAUUUGGUUCUCCGAUAAACUGUAAUCUGUCAGAAGUCUACAGUACGGUUAACCUGGUGAGUAUGAUUUUGUAGGUCUUUAGCUUUUCGGAUAGAUUAGAAAUUUGUAUGAAGGUUUUUGCUUCAGGAGAAUCUUGGAGAAACUUAUAGUUGUCACAUGGAAGUUUCUUGGGAAGUCUUUGCUUGAGGUGGUCUUUGCUGGUGGGAAAUGGGUCUUUCUUGAGGAAAAGGGAUACUUUCAAAUAAAGAUGGAACAGGGACAAGCCAUAAUAUCAAAAUUGUACAGAGACCAACUAGACAUUUGCACCUUUUCUGUUUUCUUUCAUUCAGAGAGUGCUAUUUUUACUUAAUAAGCCUUGAGAGAGAGAGAGAGAGAGAGAGAGAGAGAGAGAGAGACUUCUAGGGAAAAGCUGAUUGAUUAUCCCAAUAGUGUUGUUACUCCUCAAUGAGGUGUAAAUGUCUUUGCACAGAUAUAAUCCUUUAUCAUAUACACAUAAAUAAUUUUGCUAGAAUCUUGCUAACAGUGUUUAGCAGGAGCAGAAAUAGAAACUUCAAAUUAAAAUUUAUAUUUGAAUUUUAAGAACUCAAUUUUUGCUUUCUAACUGCUGCAAAACUUUCAGACUUUUUAUUUGCCGGAAAUCUGGCGAAGCUACAUGGAAGUGGCACAUGCUUUGGUAGAUAGUUGUGAGGUUGUGUAAAUUUAUAUUCACAUUUUACUUUCCUUUUCUUUUCCUUUUACUUUCUUAAAAAUGUACAUCAUGUAUCCUAUAGUGGUCAUACUUAUUCAAUAUAUAUAUAUAUAUAUAGAACUAGGCUGGAAUACUAUUAAUAGCACCAAGCUAUUGGUGUUAUUAGUUUUUUAGCCAUUGGAUUGAGAAAUGUACGGUUAGGAUGAUGUGGGCCCCUAGGGUUGAGUGGGUGGUUGGUUGUAUAGUAUAAUCUAACGGGUAAAAAUAAUCAAGGGGUUAAAUCUAACGGUCGAAAANUGGUGGUCUAGAAGAAAGGGAGGAGUGUAGUGUUAAGUUUAAGAGAGAAUAGAUAGGAAAAAAAGAGCAGCAAAGUAAGACUCUCUCUCUAUCUCUUUCUCUUUAGUUAGGGGUUGCUUUGUUUUAUUUAGUAUGUACAUGGGUUGUCCACUGGUUCUGGAACAAAAUAUCACCAGCAACAUUUUCCUGGGCUAUAGGUGAAAGUUAGUUGGUCUCCAACACAGUAAAAUACAAAUAAUAUAUAUAUAUAUAUAUAUAUAUAUAUAUAUUAUUUGUAUUUUACUGUGUUGGAGACCAACUAACUUUCACCUAUAGCCCAGGAAAAUGUUGCUGGUGAUAUUUUGUUCCAGAACCAGUGGACAACCCAUGUACAUACUAAAUAAAACAAAGCAACCCCUAACUAAAGAGAAAGAGAUAGAGAGAGAGUCUUACUUUGCUGCUCUUUUUUUCCUAUCUAUUCUCUCUUAAACUUAACACUACACUCCUCCCUUUCUUCUAGACCACCACAGUUCAUAUAAUCCAAUCAGCAUCUCUCACUGCACCAGCACCACAACCACCACUAUAUAACUCUCUUCACCUUCACAUCCCUUCUUACUCACCUGCAACACUCUCACAAUCCCCAUAUCACCCUUCAACAUCCAACAAUGGUACUCUCAUUACUCCUCACCUGUAACACUUACCUCUCUACUGUGUUUUCCUCUUUUUUUUUCCCUCUCUCUCUAAGUCAUUGCAUUGCAGGUCUAUGAGGAUGCAAAAACCAUCUCCAAGAACACAUGCAAUGGAAGUACAUUUGAUCUUACAGUAAAACAAGGAGACCCAUCACUUGUCCCUCCCAUAGAAGAGACCCAAAGAGGACUCUACUUCCUCUCCAACCUUGAUCAAAACAUUGCAGUGAUAGUUCAAACUAUAUACUGCUUCAAAGAUGAGAUUAAAGGGAAUGAAGCUGCCUUUGAUACCAUACGAGAAGCCUUAUCAAAAGUGCUUGUCUACUACUACCCUUUGGCGGGGCGGCUCACGAUAAGCCCCGAGGGGAAGCUCAUCGUCGACUGCACGGGAGAAGGUGCGGUAUUCGUCGAGGCGGAGGCGCAGUGCGAGAUGGAAGAGAUCGGAGACAUUGCGAAGCCCGACCCUUCGAUGCUUGGCAAGCUUGUUUAUAGCUUUCCCGGGGCGAAGAACAUUCUAGAGAUUCCUCCUCUCGUAGUUCAGGUAUGGUCUUUGUUAUCCAUCGUAUUGAUUUAAUAGAAAAAUAACUCAGAAAUAGUAUUAAUGCUUGUUAUUCUAAGUGUAUGGGGAGAUUAAAUGAAUCAUAUCAUGUACGCUGAUAGAACAGAUAACGAAAGAGGCGGUGGACAAGGGCUUAACACAUAAACAUCUAAUGAGCGAAAUUGAACCAACGAUAGGUGGGGAGCUUAACAAACGGCCUAAAAAUAGCUUUCAUAAUCUUUAGCUCCUGUGAUUCAUGCAUAUGGAAGAAGAAUAAUUUUUGAGUUUUUCUAUGACUAGUGUAGAUUUUUUAGCUAUAUUUAGGUCACAUGUAGUAGAACUAGGCAUUAAUGUCCUCAACAAUCUCCACAAAGCAGGGUUCUAGCCAAUAAUAGCAAAACCUUUCUUACCCAAAUCUUGGACCAUCCAUCCAACAACACUAAUCCCAAAGUCAACCUUAUCUAUGGUUCUUAAAUGCCAUCUAAGGAAGGGUGGGACAACGACAACAUUUGAAGUUUUACUCAUUUGGAAAUUUAGUACUCCUACAUUGAUAUAUCUCAUACAGCAUUUAAUUCCUAUAAUUAAUUUUCUUGUCAGUAUAGUUCUGUUCUGCAAUUAAGCCUUCAUUUUUUUUUAAAUUUUUUUUUUUCCUCCUGAUGAAACCUCUAGAUGUUACUAGGAUUUGUUAGAAGUGGCAAUAAGUUUCUCUUUUUGGUUAUACUACAAUAAAGAUCUCCAUUUUCUUGCAUUAAUUCCAGGUUACAAAAUUCAAAUGUGGGGGUUUCAUACUUGGACUUGCCAUGAACCACUGCAUGUUCGAUGGCAUCGGAGCCAUGGAGUUUGUCAACUCAUGGGGUGAGACAGCGCGCGGCCUACCGCUGUCGGCACCGCCGUUCUUAGACCGGUCCAUACUCAAAUGUCGCAACCCUCCGAUGAUCGAAUUCCCCCACCACGAGUUCACCGAAAUAAAACUGCACUCAUCAAACACCACCAAUGAUCGCUAUGAAGAGGAGAUGGUCUACAAAUCCUUCUCCUUCAAUCCUAACAAACUUGAACAUUUAAAAAUGCUCGCCAUGCGAGAUAGUGCUCUCAAAAAAUGCACCACCUUUGAAUCUCUCUCUGCAUUCGUGUGGCGAGCGCGUUCCAGGGCACUCAAUCUCGAGCCCGAUCAAAAGACCAAGCUUUUGUUUGCGGUCGACGGUCGGCCUAGAUUUGACCCGCCAUUGCCAAAGGGCUACUUUGGCAAUGGAAUUGUGCUGACCAGCUGUUUGUGCAAUGUAGGGGAGCUUCUAGAGAAGCCGCCUUCUUUCGCGGUCGAUCUAGUUCAAGAAGCUAUAAAGACGGUCGACGACCGCUACAUGAGGUCGGCGAUGGACUACUUCGAAGCGACGAGGACUAGGCCUUCGCUUGCCGCGACAUUGCUGAUAACCACUUGGUCUAGGCUUUCUUUCCACACAACUGAUUUUGGGUGGGGGGAGCCAAUUCAGUCUGGGCCGGUGGCUUUGCCUGAGAAGGAGGUGAUACUCUUCUUGUCUCAUGGGAAGGAAAGGAAGAGCAUUAAUGUGCUUCUUGGGUUGCCUCUCUCAGCAAUGAGUAAGUUUGAAGAGUUGCUGGGGAAUGUAGGAAAAGAGUGAAUUACCUACAUCUUAAUGUUUAUGAUGAUGGUGAGGGUGUUGCUCUUUAUAUAUAUAUAUAUAUAUAUAUAUAUAUAUAUAUAUAUAUAUAUAUAUAAAUAUAUAUAUAUGUAUACAGUGAAGUGGUCUCCUACUGUGUUGAACCCAAAAAUCUUUUCCGGGUCUCUCAAGAGUGGUUUUGUUGUUUGAAUAUGGUUUUACUUUGGGCUUUUAAUGUUGCUUCUUUUAUAUGUAUGUGGAAAUAUAUGGUGUUGCAUAGUGUUUAAAGAAAAGUUCAAUAGGUGGCAUCUUUAUCUUCAUUUGUUGUGAAACUUGCACUGUUUAUGGAGGAGGAAUCAUGCUAUUUAUUAUCAAGGUCUGAGCGUGGCAUGACCAGAUCACUUAAAGCUACUGUAUUUGGUAUCUAUGUUUUUCUCAGUGAAUCUAUAUAUGUAGCAACUGUCCAACCUGCUUAACUCAUUCAUGCUUAUUGUCUGUGCUUUCUUUUCAAAUUGCAAACUGAGAUUGGUUAAUUCUGUAUUAGGAGUUAAAAGAAAUUUUGUCCAGCUCUCUCUCUCUCUCUCUCUCUCUCUGCAGAAAAUUUCAAUUUUUUGUAUAUACAAUUUUGACCAUUAUAGUCAUGUUUAGCCUAUGUUUUUCUCAGUGAAUCUAUAUAUGUAGCAACUGUCCAACCUGCUUAACUCAUUCAUGCUUAUUGUCUGAAAGUUUUUUUCAAAUUGCAAACUGAGAUUGGUUAAUUCUGUAUUAGGAGUUAAAAGAAAUUUUGUCCAGCUCUCUCUCUCUCUCUCUCUCUCUCUGCAGAAAAUUUCAAUUUUUUGUAUAUACAAUUUUGACCAUUAUAGUCAUGUUUAGCCUAUGAAAAAAACUUUCGGAUAAAGGGCAACAUUCCUACCAUCACAUUGCAUGUGUGGUAGGUAUUGAAUAUAAAUAUUAGAAAUAGUAUAUUCUGGUAGCUUAAGUAUUUGAAGAAUAAUGAUUAUUUCACACAUCAUUAUAUGGUAUCAAGUAGAGGAUUCUGAAUUCGAGUCUGGUUAGACUCCUAGUAGGGAAAUAUUGUAGUCUGAUAAAAUAAAUUUUUGUAGAAAAUAUUGAUUGUUUCAUAUAAAAAAGAAGUUGCUGAAAGUAUAAACAGAUUCUAAUGAAUCAGGGAGGAACUCUGCCCAUCACAUGGUUUAGGAUUGAGAUAGAGAGACAUCACAUCACACUUCUGUGAAAGUUGACAACCUCAUUGAUGAAAACUGAACCAACUACAAUAAAACCAUCACCACGUGCAGUACCCUCGUAAUUAAGUCAUGGUUCUAUUGUAAUCUCUCUCUCUCUCUCUCUCUCUCUCUCUCUCUCUCUCUCUCUCUCUACAGAACCACCACACACUAUGCGUGUUUGUAUGCAGUGGAUAUGCAUAUGGAUCUAAUUACAAAAUGAAAUGUCUCUUUUGGUACUGUUGCAUUUCCCUUUUUUAAUUUUUUGGACUUAGAUUCUAUUUGUGUCAAUAGGCGACGCAUUGUCACAAUCUAUAUAUGUUAUCUGCAGGAUUCUUUCAGCAAUAAAAGAACAAAGACAAAAAAAAAAGAGUUAGUAAUAACUCAUUAUUCCCUUCUUUGACUAGUUUUUUGAAGCUGAACUUAUGGGCCCCACCCCGGCUUUGGAUUUUGGGCCUGAACUUGAUGAGGUCCUUUCUCACAGCGUAGUUAAUGACAAUGCUGCAUAUCUUUAAAUUCGACGGUGGUCAAUGCACAUGAAUUUUUGUUUUGGUUGUGCAGAGGAGAUGUCAGAAGAGCUUCUCAGCAAAUUUUGCAUCAUAGUCGCCUCUUAAGGACACGCGUCCCUGCCCCAGCAGUACAAGUUUCGGGUCAGAGCUUCUGCUUAUAUAUACAUAUAUGCAUCUUUUUUUACUUCUCGCCACAGCAAAACCCCUAAUUUGAGCUAUAUCGUAAAAGCAGUAGCAACGCGGCUCCAGAAGACUUUUUUGAGCAAAACAUCAUAAAUGCAAAGAUGAGACGAGCAAAUCCAUUCACCAAAUGAGAAGCGCUAUAUCGUGCUAAGAACGCAGUAGCAUCACUAUUUGAAGCCAAAAAUUAAAAAAGCGAAUAGAAAAUAAACAAGUACAACGAAAAUAAACAUGAAAAUAGCUGCUGCUAGAUUGUAUCCUCUGCUCGUAUGCAUUUGUAAUCACGAUCACGACGACUCGUUAAUAGCAACUCGGCGAUCAUGAAAUGGCGAAGAAAUGCAUUCAUUAUAAGGAAAUUAAUCUCUCCCUGCUCUUGUAGUUUGGAAUUCAGAAAAAAAGUCCUAGCAACAUAAAAUGUUAGCAAUUCAAUCCAUAUCAGGUAUCAGACACAUCCGAUCUAUUCAGUAGAUUACACUUCAACACAUGAAAUGUUUGUUAAGGCUCACGAAAUAUACAACACAGAAUGGUAUUAAUGAUGAUAAAACCACAAAAAAGUAUCUAUUCGACUAGGGUCAUCCCUCAAGGAAGUUUUAAGUCCAGCAUAAUCUUAAAAGCUUUUUCCCCUGGCAAAUGCUUUGGUUCUCUAUUGCUUGGUCAUGGGAGGCGGAGCCGUCGGCAAGGGCGGGGGCUGGCCAAAGAGACCGCCACCACUGUCCGAUACAGGGAAGUUAGGGAACAUGUUUGGCGGAAUGGGGAAUGGGGGCAUGCCGCCGACCAUAGGAUAGCCCGGCAGAGGAAAGGGAGGAGAUGAACCGUAGCCGUAUGGUACACCCGUCAUGGAACCUGCGGCAUUCUGCAUGAACUGAGUGGUGCUGAUGGCUGGCAGCAAAGAGGCAGGCGGUGGCGGCGCUUGCUGCUGAACAAUAGGACUCGAGUGGCCCACGGGUGGCGGCGAUGACUGUGGCGGCUGCGGCGGCGGUUGCAGUGCAUCAGGAUGCUGGAAGGGAGGUAGGGGCAGCGGUGGCUGAGGGUGGGAAGGGACAUAGGAAGGAACAGCAUUCUCGAGUUUCGGGCGCUUAUUAUCGGGAGGAUGCUCUUCUUUCGGCUGUUGGGUGAUGACACCCUCAGAAGCCAGGGAGGAGAGGACAUAGCUGAGCAUCUGGGCAGAGGAGGUUGAAGCUGCCAGCUUCGCCACCACGGCAGCAGCGGCAGUCUUCCGGUCCUCUGCAGCCUCAGGGUGGUGGGACAGGUUGCUGGGGUUGAUGAGAGGUGCCUCUGGUGUGUACGUUGCAGUGGUGGUUUGGGGUUUUUCGCCAGUAAGAGCAGCAGAUUCUUGGAGGACAGAGGAUGACUCUUGGAAAUUCUGAUGAUCGGUCGGCGGCGGCGCAAUGUUGUAGGCUGGUAGCUUUUGGCAUAUAAUGUCAGCUUGUUCAUACCGUGACUGAGCCACCUGGAAAUAGUUUGAAACAGCGAACAAUAAUAAAAAAAAUAUAUAAAUAUCAGAACAAGUGGUGCGAGGGUUCUCUCCAACUUUCAAGAGCAAGAGCAACCUAAUAGUUAAAAAAGAAAAGUCGAUAAAGCUUUGUCGAUCUUAAAGAGUUAUUACAUGGGGCUAACUUCACAAAUUUAUAAGUUUCCCCCUUACCUUGAUAUCCAAAUGUUGUUGAGACAUCAUGGUGAUACAUUUGGAAAUCAUCAAUCUUAAAUCGAUAAACUCAAAUGUCCACAAUUGGCGUCAUGAAAGAUUUAAGAUAUAGAAAUUUUUUACGCGCUUGGGGAUUCGGAUGGAUUAACAAAGAACUACCCUCCAGCAGAUGAUAUUUGAUUAGCAAGAUUUCGAUCGGUGGUAUUUGAUGUGGUCAAAAAAUAGACUUUGUGAUUAUGAAUGUCAUCCAUCCACCACAUCAAAAUCUGCCCAUUACCCAGUAAGUUCCAACAAAGCUCAUUAAUAAGAAGACACUACCAAGUCUCUAAGCCCACAUACAUCGUAUAUAUUUAGCAUUGAGUACUGGAUGGCUUUGCUUGAAACCACAGUACACACCAGCAUCAAUGGACAUACUACUCACUGUACUAUGAUUAGGAAGUUGUUGAACUCUGUUGGAAAAAGAAACCAUAGCAGACCUAAAAAUGCUCAGAAGUGUGAAAAUUACCUGAAGUUGAUUACGAACUUGUUCAAUCUUCAGUUCCUGCAUAUUAACCACACAAGGUUCGUAAGCAUAUGAGAGGAAGACACUUAAUUUAACUAAAUGCAACUGUAAUCUCUCUUCAACUUGUUUAAAAUUACUCACUUGCUCAUGAAGCGCCUCUCGUAAAAGGGAAAUGAGAGUUGUCCGAGAUGAUUCAGCUGCUUUUAGUUGUUCUAUACAUUCUCUUAGUAUGCCAUGGUGCAUCUGUAACUCCCCCACUAUAGAUCCAUUGCCAUUCCCUAUGAAUAUACAACAGACAGAAAUAAUGAUCUGUUCGAACACUCUGUAUCUUAACAAGCAGUAAAAAAGUAAUGUAGAAACUGCUUUGAUGAAUAUUUAGAAAGUUGGAAACAGCAGCUAGCGGAUGCGAUCCAUAUUUCGAUUUGCAUAACUCUGACUGGUUUUUAAGGUCUAAAAUAAGAACAAACUGAUUAAAUUACGAAAUAACUUAAUAUACGUGGUCUGGAUCGUCAAUGUAACAAAAUGUCUUUUAUAAAGUGCACCAAAAUCCAAUGUGGGAACAUACCAUUCAAACACAAAAAAAGAAAGAAAACAACGAAGAUGAACCAACUCCAUUUGCAUCUUUCAACUCCAUUGCACAUAGAAACCCCUGAUCAUUUCAGGUACCCACGACGAUUGAAAUGUUGAAAGAAAAGUUUGAGCAAAAAAUAGAAAUAAAUACACGGAAACACAGUAAAAAUAGAAAUGGGGGAGAACUCGUGAGUCAAAUCUGAGUUCAUUAACUUUGAAGUUUGAACAUUCGCUUCGAAUGACUAAACCUGGCGACUCAGCGAAACUUUUAACUUCUUUACCCCCCCACCCAAAAAAAAAAACAUGAGUAACAUAGCAAUGAUGUAUUUAGCAUUUGAAUGUGAAGAAAAGAGAUUUUUGUACAAAGAUAAUGUUCCCAGUUAUCAUUUGGAUCAUGCGUACAUGCAUAGAUCUUAGCUGCUUGGUGGUAAUAAUAGCAGACCAAAUAUUUAAGUCAAUUAAUGAGCGACUAGUGAUGGCACAGCUCAAAUUUGGUAAUUUCUGAAGCUCGUCUUCAGUCAUCCAGGUUAUGGAAAACUUGUUUAACAUGAUUUGCAAGAGAACAAUUGAGUAAGAAGGAAACAGAAGGCCACAAAGUCCUGAGUGACUUGCUGAGUCAGAAUUUUGAGAGACUUGAUCAAACUUAGUUUCUCUGUUUUUCUUACUCUUAUUUUGCUUCCAAAAGUUGUAUCUCACAAAAUUUCAACUUGUCGACCUUGAAGAUGACUCAAAUAGUUGAGUGAGCUCGUAACUUGGUCUAGCCAUACAGCUGUAUCAAAGAGGCCCAGUUUGGUGUAGAAGAAGACAAGAAAGCAAGCCAAAAGAUAUCCAUGUUCCUCAUCAAACAAAAACAAACUGCUCAUCAACUUUGUACAGUUAAGACUUACAGGUAUUUAAUAAUUGCAUACAUGAUGCCAGUCCCAAACUAAUGUAGCACUCCAACUCCCAUUAUCACAUAUCCCGAAUGAUUUCAGGAUAAGAUGGGAGACUACUUAGAACAAAAACAUAGCGAACUGACUCAAAAAUGUUUAAAAAAAGAAACUAAUUAAUAGGAAAGUAAUUAGUACAUUUAAACAAAAGAAUCCAAAUUGGCACAAAUGAUGGGUGUAGCAUUACCUGGAGUUAAGUUAUUCCCGUAAUCCUUGUCCACCUUGUCAAUGAAACUAAUAGCCACUUGACACUUUCCAAAUAAGGUUUCUUCAUCUACAGGAACACUAUUGAUAUGCUCAUAACUCGAAAUAAGAUUCUCCAGCAGUUCUCCACCAGGUUGUUUCUGUUUAUGCCAGAAAAGGCAAUAGUAUCAAAUUCAUAUAAAUAUGGGAGGUGGACAUGCCUAGAUGUUUCAAAACAUAGAUUGCGGUGCACCAUAUAAAUAAUGUUCUUACCAAUUUGUAGCUAAUGCCCUUUCCAUCUCUAUUUCUGUUCUCUAGAUUCCUCCCUAAUAGCUCUUCCUUGAGAAUUUGCCCACGAGAUCCAAAUACUUUACGCUCUUCCCAUAUAGCAACCUGGAGAAUAUAAGUAAGACAUCUUUAUUCUGUAUACUUCUAAUCAUGCUACCAUCAAUCUUCAAGGUCCAAGAUUAAAAAUCAAGAAAAAAGUGGAAAAAGGAGAUAUUGAAAUGCAGUAAUUGCCGGAAGUCACUAAGGGAAGCAAACAUGUCUUGCUUAUUAGAAGGACAGGAUAUUGAAAUGCAGUAAAACCCGCUGAAAAUAGGGUCAGUUGGACUUCAUCCACAUAAUUAGGCUGCUACUGACAGUUCAAUGUUUAGGCUACUAAGAACGCUUAACCACCUUCCCGCCACAUUUUCCAUCCAAGAAUUGUUAGCGAGUCUUAAGCUACAAUGAUUCCCACCAUAAAGCGAGUAACUUCUAACAGUCUAAAAAAGCAGUAUAUAGGUUUCAAUAUCCAAGGAAGAAAAGUAGAAAUAAAGCUAUUUCCAAGGGGGUACUUCUGCAAUUUAGCCUUAAUACAAUACAACGUCAAAAUUAGGUGAACGAAGUAUACAACUGCUAGGCUUAACAUACCAGUCUCUUUACAGUAUUCCUUCCAAACUCGCCCCCAUUAUUGAGCACAUCGUUAAGCGCACCGGGAAGGACUCUCCAAAAUUCACUGAUAAACUCCAUUCCCUUUCGCCUGCUGUUCUGCAAGAUAUCAUUUGCCAAAUAUAGAAAUGAUACUCGCCUAUCCCGGGGAGCACAAUGGAAUUGUCGCUCCCAUGUUUCCACAACUUGCUUAGCUUUAUUCCUAUGGAAGAUACACCAAUGCGACAAAGCUUACAUUUGUUAAGUACGUAACUUCAAUAUUACAUAAUUCCUGGAAUGCCAAACAUAGUAUGACUAAUUUUUGUGCUAGAGAAAAUGGUAAAUCAUAAACAAUAGAAUCAGUUUCUUUCCAAGAUAACCCAUGUGAGAAAUGUAAUUGUUAAAAUAACAUAGGCAAAAUUUUAUGUCUAAAUGACCCUACAGCCUACUAGGUCAGUGACGCAUAAAUGCUGCACCAUCUGGGUGAACAUUGAAAGCUGUUCAUGGUGUGCUUGUGAACACCAUGAAUGCUUUGCAGUAUUCUCAUAAUGGAUUCUUUAAUGAUAAAUAGAAUAUAAAGAAGGAGACUUGAACACGGGCGAACCAUUUGCAGUGUCGAGAACAUUGCAAAUGAUUUGUGGAGUUCAACAUACCCAGCAACAGCACACCUACAUGUCGCCAACGCAACGAGUGAUAGGUUAUUUCAAUAAAUACAGUCAUGUAGACUUUCAAUAACUUCAAUGGCGUUAAAUAGGAAAAAACCCAUUGAAAUCAUGUUAAGAUAUUGGGGGUUAAGUUAGGAAGGUCAUUAGGUCAGAGUUGCUUCCUUUCGGAAUGUAUUUCCCAUCAAGGAACUAGAUGAAGGCCCAGAGAAGUGACUGCCAUGAUUAACUACGGUGAUACAAGUUCAUCACAAGCAUCUUCUAAGACGUCAUCAGAAAAACUAAUGGUAAAUCAUAAGCAUAGUAGAUAUGCCAAGUAUUGGAGGUGAACUUAGACAGAAUAAUAAGAUAAAAUGCCGACAAAUCAAGGUAGCUUCUAAGGAUAAAUUUAUCUAGAAAGUCAGAACCAUUGCAUUGGAAAUGUGCGAUAAUUAAUUGAUAACUACUAAGAAUUUGACUACAGAUCAUGCUUCCAUAAAAGGAUACUCUCUAUACUCUGCUGUGAAUUAUUGAGCUUAGCAAGCUUAUCCACCAAGAUCUGCCCGUUAAAUGACCCGUUCAUUUCUCUUGGUCUAAAUAACCAGAAGCCAGCUGGAAGUAAACCUACCAUGGAAGGAUAUAUAAAAGAAUUGUAAGUUGAAUACUGUCCAAAUCAGUGGCAAAAACAUUGCAAGCGACAAAAGUUAAAAAGAGCCCAAACCUAUAGUAGGUUAAAAACAACAAAAUAACUAUUUACUUGCAUUGAAGAGAUCUUCCAGGCAAAAAAUAAAAAGUUGAGUGAAAAGCAAACAAACACAGCUGAAGAAUAGUUAAAAAAUAUAAACUUUGGCCAAAUGUCGCUUUAGAAGUGGGCAACAGGAAGUGAGCGUCCACGCACAUGGCAUAUUGAGUUUAACUCACGAGCCUCGUGUUACUUUUUGAACGUGAAAUAAUAGCAUGGGGGAAGAAAGCCUACAUAAGCCUUUUGAUAUCACAGUUCAAACUUAUCACAAAAGGGAUUGUGAAGUACAAAACGUUACUCGACUAUCUCUCACUCAAAUGAACUAUUAAUCAUCUGCAUAAUACUCAUACCACCCAUCACUAUUUUUAUAACUACUUAGUGCAUUAUUUAAUGAACAUGGCUCAUAUAGGAUAGGAUUAGCGUGAUAAGAAAUAACAGUAUAAUAACCCCAAAUAAUAUAGAGUUACAAAAAGGUAGAAACAAGCCACCCAAAGACAAAUGCAUGACGAAACUACGGUUAGCAAUUAUAUCUGUACUGGUGAAUCAGCAAAAAAGUAUAAUUUUUAUGUUUCAGGAGCACAAAUUUCACCUAGAUAGUGAAAAUUAGAGGAAAUCCUCAAUUUUCACAAGAGAAAACAACUCAACCCAAUGAGAAGAGCACAAAAAUAUGAUCUUUCAUCUUCCCACCAAAUCGCUCACCCAAAACUCUUAAAAACCGAACCCCUCUUCGAGAAUCCGAGACUAAGCGAUCCCACGAUCUCGAUUACACCAAGCCCCCUACUAAUCAGAACAAGUACAGCAAACAAGAAGAAAAUUUAUGAAUCUGCGAGGAUCUCACCUGCUAAUCCAAGUUGUGGAGCGAGUUCGAUGAAUCCCGAUUCGACUGGCACAUGUUUACACAAUUCCUGCUCGCAUGAAGCUCCCGGGGAGGGAUAAUUAGGGUUUUAUUGGGAUCUUAUUCGUCUUUUACGCCCCUUUUAUUGACGAUUAGGGUUUGGGAGAGGGGAUUUGGGGGGGAUUGGGCUCGGGAGGCUUCGUGCGUCGCCAGAGGGGACGAAGAGGGUUUUUGGUUUUUUCGAUUAUCUUCGUACGCGAGAGAGAGAGAGAAUAUUCCCUGCACCGGGUGUAUAACUACAUCUCAUAGACCACACCCUCUUAAAAUUAAGGUUAUCACUAUUUAAAGCACUCAGAAUCAAAAUCUUAAUAAAGUGAUUAGACAUAUAUUUGGUAACAUCAAAAAAGCUUACUAUUAAAAAUAUAUAAUUUUAAAUAUUUAUUUCUUACAAGUAGAAUAAGAAUCCUUUCUCAAUGUUUUAGAAACUGAUACUACGAAUAAAGUUUAAUUUUAAAAUAGUAAUUAUUAAAAAUUAGAUAUGGUAUAUUAGUUGUGUACAUAUAUCUCAAGAACUCAUGGGUUUGAAAGAUGAAAUGGUUCUUCCUCUUCUUCUUUUUUUUUUUUUGUGUUCUAUAUACUGUAUGAUAUAUACUUUAUACAGUAUGGUUUUUUUUUUUGUAAAUGGACCCCUGGAAAAAUUUUAUUUUAAAACCAGUCCCAACAAAUUUAUAAUUACUAAAAUAUCCCUACUCCUGCCACGUAGGCGCCACGUGGGCGGACUGGGUGUUGGCUUGGCAAGUUGAACACGGUGAAUAAUUCACCGUGUUCAAACACGGUGAAUGGUUCACCGUGUUUCAUAUUUAUAUUCCCUUUCUUCUUCUUUUUAAUAUUUAUAUUUUUCGCAAUACAUAUAUUUUUAAAAAUCCGAAUCCUGACCUGAACCGGGCGGAUUUUAAAAAUCCAUACCCAUAUUCAUACCCGACCAAAAACCUAAAACCCGAACCUGGAUCCGAACCCGGCGGGUUUUAAAAAUCCAUACCAUUGAAUAAAGAUUUAAGGGAUAAAAAUUAUUAAAUAUUAUAUAUAUUGUAUAAAUAAACAAAAAUAAAUUAUAUAUAUAUAUAUAUAUAUAUAAUUUAUUCGGGGUUGGGUUCGGGUUUGGGUUGGGUAAAUACAAAAUUCAUACCUGUAUUUUUAUCCAUCGGGUUUUUAUUUUCUAUACCCAUAAUCGAAUUCAUACUCGUUUAGUUCGGGUAAACACACCCCAUUCGGAUUUGGGUUCGGAUAAUAUUUCGGAUAUUCAUACCCACCGACAUCUCUACUCUCUAUUCCUCUUUUCAAUAUUUAUAUUGCGAAAAAUACAUAUAUUUGUAUUUUUUUAGACACGUAAAUUAUUUACCGUAUUUGGAUACGGUGAAUGGUUCACUGUAUUCAACUUAACAUCCUGGCCCCAGCCCCGCUCGCGUGGCGCUGACGUGGUGUCUGCGUGGCAGGAUCAGGGCCAAAAAUACAAAUAUAAAUUUGCUAGGGCUAUUUUUAAAAUAAAAUUUUCAAGGGGGCUAGAUGCAAAAAUGGCCCACAGCCCAGUAUUUUAAUUUUAUUUUAUUAUAGUAUACAUGUAUUUCUACACUUAUUUAAUAUUUGCUAUUUAAAAAAUUAAAAUGGGCUCAAACAAGGCUUUAUUGAGCUUUGGACUUUAGACCUUAGUCCGGGCUUUGUUUCCAUCAACAAUUUCGGGCCCCGAAUACGCCCGAAGCCUGUUAAAUUGAUUUGAGCCGGGUCUCGGGUUUAGACCGGCCUAACUCGAAUCCGACCCAGUUACUUCCUUACCCAUUUCGGUCGUCGACAUCUUAGCUGUUUGUUUGGUAAAUAAAAUACUCUUGAGUUUCAUUUGCGGCCGAAGCUUGAAAUGAGAUUCAGAACCUCAAAUGUCUUACUUGUUCUGACUUAGAUGCAAAACAAUCUAAUUAAUGUUAGUAGGACACUCAUUCUAUCAGUACGCUUCAAACAGUAUUUUUUGACAAUAGAUUAGAACAUACCAAAUUAUAAAAUUUCUACUUCUGAGGGUCUAACUCUCACUUUCAUUUUCCGCUGCAAGAGAAGCCAAAUGCUAUACUACUACUAGAGACUUCUAUUGUUGAGAACUGAGGCAGAAGCGGGGCCAAACAGGCCCAAAAUCAAAGCUCCAAACUACUACUACUACUACUGCAAUUAUGAAAAUUUAAAAUUAUGCUCAAAAGAUCCAUAUAGCAUUAUUAUUCAAAUGAAAGUUUGUUUUUUUGAGAGAUUAGGUAGCACACUACCCGUUCGUUUAUUUAAUUUAGAAAUAAACUUCAUUUAGAAAUAAACUUAGCUGAAAAUGUGAAUCAAUUAGGAUUCAAACUUGGGAUCUCGGCUAUCAACCGUCAAGCCCUUUGUCAUUGGCCCUAGGAACAGUCGGUCAAAAGAAAGUUUGUUAGACAAUGUUUUGUCUUAGAUCCAAAAUCAUUACAUGUGUUUGUGAUAAAUCAUUAUGUAUGAACUUGAGCAAGCACACAACUCUAGAAUGAUCCCCCGUUCACAAGGACUAGCACUGAAAUAAUGGCACAUCGCGAUUCGUCGACGACCUAACGAUGCGUCACAUGUCGGCAUUCGAUAGGCCGAAUGGAUCGGAUUUUUUUUUUUUUUUUUUUUUUGACCAAUCAAAAUUUUGGUGUGUUUAAGGUUGGUUCCCUUCAGACAAAGGCACCAUUUUUUCUAUUACAAGUCUUCUUCUGAUGGUUACAUCUUCCUUUUCUUCUUUUUUUUUUUUUUCCUUUUACUUUUUUAGUAGAUUAUUUAGCAUGUGGUGUUAUGGAGUUGCUUCAUGGGAAAGGAGACCAUUGGGGUCAUCCCACAUCCUCACUCCAAAGGCAUUGACUAAUGCUUAAUUUAUGAAAUAAAAAAAAAAAAAUCUAAAAGCAUCUCAAAUUUAUUCUCAUUACAAGCACAGAUGAUAAAAAUAUCUAUUCUUCGGAUAUUUGAGGACGGAGUAGAGAGGUUAUAUUUGUAAAUUCGAAAAUUCGAUUUUAACUUUCUUUCGUACUGAUGUUGCUGGAUGGUCCUGAAUUCAAAACUCAUCAAUUUAAUUUUUUAGAUUUUCGGAUAACAAAAAAAAUAUAUAAUAAUUGCAAAAAGCUAUUUGAGAUUCUUCGCAAUUCAGCCAAAUAAAAUAUAAAAAUUUAAGGACUAAAUUGGUGUUUGAUCUAAAUUGUAUAGGUCAAAGAUAAUUUACACCUGAAAUAUGAUAAUUUUUAUUUUUUUCAGUUAGGCUUAGACUAAAACCUAAGCCUUAAUUACUUUCUUUGAGGGGAAAAAAAUCCGAAGAACAACCUAAGCUCAGGGGAUUCAUACAAUUGAUCACUAUUUUUUUAAGGGCCCUUUGAUAUUAAGAGCUCUUAAUAUUAUUGGACCAGAAAAAAUUAGGAUCAAAACAUAUAAAGAUUUAUUUUUAUUUUUUUUUCAAUAAGAUUCCAAUUUUAAUCAAUAACACAAUUUGUUUAGACUUAGUUUGAUAUUGAAGUCUAUCUGACGCUAUUAGAUAAAAUGGAGUUGGAGUAAAAGCAUUAAGUGAUAUAUUUCUACGUUCUCCGAUGGGACCGCACAAAACAUAUCGUAAUUAACUUAUUGCGAUAUGUGAAAAGGAAUAUUACGUAUGAAAACAAACAAAGUAUUUUUUCAUCGUAUUUUCUCAUCGCACGUAACACAACUUCUCUGCAAUUCCAAACGAAGUCUUACUAUGUUAUUAUUUACAAAAAUAAAUAAAAUAUUUUUAUUAUAUUUUUUGAAUGAUAUGUAAUAUAUUUUGUGAAACAAAUUGUGAUAUGAGUAAUCAGAAAAACACUGUGGAGGGCAGUAAAAUCAUUUCACAUUUUCCUUUCCCUGCCUACCAAAUUGGAAACAUCCAGACACAAUUACCAUAAUACCCUCAUGAGACUCCCAAAUGCAAUAAUUCUUAAUAAUCAUUAAAAAAAAAAAAAGAGGAAAAGCUUAUAAUUAUGGUCCUCUUUCUAUGGAAUCUAUCCUUCCAAAAAGCUGGGGCCCAAAUAAUAGAGAGCAAACAUUAUGGUGAGUGGCUCCGGUAAUAACACCUGGGUCAGAGGGCUAUUUAUGUCAUUUCACAGGUGUUGAUGCUAUUAUAUAGUCACCAUGAUGUCAUAGUUCUUCAAAGGGUAUUUUAUUAUUCCUCUACAAUGACUAAAAUACUAUUAUUAUUUUAUAUUAUUUUUAGUGAAUAAAUAUUUUUAAAAAGUCUAAGUAUGAGGUAUGAUAAGAUUGUAGAACAUGCAGCGGAGUCGUUUGGCCUAGAUUCUGAAAAAAUAAUUUCUGUGUAAUUAAUUUUAUUUUGAAGAAUUAAUUUUGAUUAAAAACUAUAAAGCGUUUGACUAAAUUUAGAUAAAAAUAAUUUAUUAAGUAAUUUUGUAAAAUUGUUUGGCAAUUUUUUUUUUGAUAUUUGUAUAUAUUAAUAUUUUCACUAAAUUUUAUAUCAAAAUAAUUAAAAUUUUAAAUUAAAAUUUUUAUAUUUCAAAUUUGUACAAUAUUUAGAAUUUGAUAUUUUAAUUUUAAAAAUAAAUUUGAAUUUUUAAUCUAAAUUUAAAUUUUGAACUAUCAAAUUUAAAAUCUAAAUUUAAAAUCUAAAAUCUAAAAUUUAUAAUUUAUAAUUUAUAAUUUAUAAUUAAAAUUUAAAAAAUUUAAAUUUGAAUUUUUAAAAAUUAAAAUCUUUAAUUUGAAGAUUAAAACUUGUAAUUUUAAAUUUUAAAUUUUUAAAUUUAAAAUUUUAAAAUCUAAAAUAUCAAAAUUUAAAUUUUAAAAGUUAAAAUUUAAAAAUUCAAAUAUAAAAUUUAAUUUAAAAUUUUUAAUCUAAAAUUAAAAUAAAAAUUUGAGGUUUGAGUUUAAAAUCAGAAUCAGAUUUCAAAAAGCAGCUUUUUAUGUUUCUAAUUCUGAUACUUUCAAAAUCAGUUUUUUUUAUUCUGAAAAUUGGAAUCAAAUUUUCUAACACUUGUUGUCAAACGCUUUACUAAGCCCAAAGUUAUUUUUUAGCUCGAAAUUACUUUUCAGAAGCCGGGGCAAACACCCCUGUAUUAUAGAAAUUUUUUGCGCAAGCUGUUAAGGCCAUAGUUGUCAUCCAACAUGGUUAAUUUUUUCUGUCCUAAAGAGUGAUAAUGUGAGUAACACACAAUUAACUUUGUUCUGCUUCACUGAUCGUCCCUAAAGCAAGUGGCAAAGGGCUUGGUGGUUGGUACCCGAGACCCAAGUUUGAAUCAUAGUUGAUUCAUAUUUCCAGCUAAGUUUAUUUUUAAAUGAAAUAAACCAAGCGGGUAACGUGCUGUCUAUCUCUCAAAAAAAAAGAAUAACACCCAAGAAUAAAUCUAGUUCACAAACCUUUAAACCCAACCCAAAUAUAAGAAAACCUGGAUUGGGCAUUUUGGUUAAGCAUAGAUGUUAUAUCAAGCUCAAAAAAAAAAAAAAAAAAAAAAAAAAAAAUCAUCGCAACUUACAUACCUUGUUAGUCAAUUGAUGAUUACAUGCUCCAGAAUGAGUUAGAUUGUUCAAAAUGGCCGACAGCGAUAGUACAAUUACAAUGCAUGGGAUUAUAGCUGGAGAAAUUGUUCUCAUCUUUUUUUCGCCGCGAAAUCCAGUUAUUGCCUCCAUAAAACUGUUCACACUUACAUUACUUAUAACCAAGGUCAACUUCGGUUGAUUAAGUAGAAUGUUACACGUUAGGAACACUUUGAUCUUUCAUUAGCUGCUCCUGAAGGAAAAGGAGGAGGGAAUAUACAUUUGCAAUUCCUUGGCUUCUUUUUCGGUUUCUCUUUAUCGCAGCUUCGCUCUAACCUACCACUAAAGUGGGUUGAUAAAUCUCGAGAUCGAAUAAAUAACUGCAGGCCUGCGAACGAUCAAGGGUGCUUUUCUUUUUAAUCGGCCGCUGUACUUGCGAAAGCUUUCUCGCUUUAAAAUAUUCCGAAACAAGUAAAGCAGAUUCUGGGAUGCUCAAGAGGGGCAGUAGGUGAGCGCCUGCCACAAGUCAUUUGAGCAAAGAUGCUCAUCAAUAAUUUCUAAAGAGAUCAUCAAAGUCCGUCGACGCAGAAAUUUCAAAAGCAUACGAUUAAAGGAAGCGACAAUAUGGCCCAAGGAAUCAGCUAAUGUACUAGUAACAUGCCCCACUCCAAUAAUUUCUUUUUAGGUGCCACUUGAAUCACAUGAAGGUAACAAUGCUAAUCGAUGUAAUUAUACGCACGCACCGCGUCACGUUUUGGCCAACAAAAAACAGAAAAAUUGAUGCAUGAAGAAUUUNACCUUUCUCUCUAAAAAAAAAAAAAAAAAAAAAAACUAAUUCAAAGUAAGAGAAACUUCAAAAGAUAGAAAAUGAUAUUUACAACCAAAUUAUGAUUGUCAGCAAACUAAAUUGAUCAAAGCUACUUGUAUUUAGAAUGGUUAAUAUAUGCCAAUUUUAAUAUAAAAUAAUAAUGUUGGGCCUACAGUCUAUAUUUGGUUGUAAUCUUACAAUCUUACUCAUCCAGAGACUCCUUUUUUUCUCUACUUAUCAAUUGUCAUAUCAAUUUUUUUUUAAGUAAAACCCAGAAAGGGAUAAUAAAAUCUUACAAGUUCUUAGAUGAGGAGCUGCAGAGAUCACAAACCCUUUGACAAUAGACAAUUUUUUUAUUUAUUUUUUUUGAAGAUUUUUCGUUUUUACUUUGCUCAACUUUUUGUCCACUUUUUUUUUCUGUUUUUUUUUUUUUUUUUUUUUUUUUUUUUUUUUUUUUUUUUUUUUUUUUUUUUUANACAUACUAGGGACCACAAAUCGUCUACUCCGAACAGCUGUCGAGACCUCUCACAGUCCUGUUCAGGCUCAGCACAACCGCGCUUUAUUUGCAUUUUGUCUGAGUCGCCCCUGCGCUCUCGUCCUGAAUCGAAACCUUUAGACGUUUAAUGUCUAAAGACGAACAACAUGGCCAUGUUGGUAGUUCCACAUGGCCAUGCAUGGCCAUGUUGGUAGUUCCGCAUGGCCAUGUGAAAAACAUGGCCAUGUUGGUCGUCCCGCAUGGCCAUUGAAGCGGUCUAAAACGCGUCGACGAGAGCCCAACGGUAAACAUGGCCAUGUUUAUGUGGUCCCAUCCAUUCCCCACAAAACCAUUAAAGAAUGGAAUUUGCACAGUGGGAGAGAGGGUGAGGAAGAAUAUGCACAUCUCCUCGAUUCCUUCCGAAGAACGUACGAAGAAGAGGAGAGAGAGAUCUGAGUUGACAAUCGUUCCUCCUCGAGCCCACCUCAACCUAGCUGCGGCUGCAGCGCGGCGCCACGGCAAGCUCGCACGGAAGCAGCAGCAUCGUAGCGCUCUCCGGCUCGCUCCCACGCUAAGGCGGCAAGAGCUGCAGCGCGGCCUAAUCCUAAUCGAAAACUCCACCCAAAUAGUAGCCUAAAGAUGAGGAUUUCAGAGCCAAUUGCCGUACAUAUAAAACACAUUAUCGAGCUUAAACACCUAAAAAACACAGAAACUGUAGAUUUGACUUAAACCUCGUAUCAUAAUAAACACCUAUUUAAUAUGUACAACCUGAACUUAAACUGAAUCCUCUUUUAGGCGCUUAUAUUGGACAGUAUACGAAUUUGAUGGUCUAAAUCGAGAUCCUCGGCACCAAACUAACAUAGUAGCGUCAAAGUCUCACCAUCUAUGGGGUCUAUCAAAUCUAAAGACAAUGCGAGCACGACCCUACGGCUCACGUAAAAAUGUCAUCGUAAGUCUGACAAAGCCUGACAAACCACGGCAGCCUCAACUGCCACUUGGGUCAAACGACAAAACCGUAGUCUAACACGGCUCCCGUACACUGAACAACCAACAAUCUGGUCAACCUGGGACAAAUGAACUGAUAUCGAACACUCUCGGACUAACUCGAGCUGUCUCUAUGCGAACGUAUGAGCCAACCCAUCGCGGGUGCUCACGGUGAGAUCUUAGCCCGAAUCACAAAGACGCAACUACAGCUCCAUAGGACAAACCUGAACGAUAGGUGACUGACGAAUCACACCUCCAUCGAAAUCGAAGCUGUCCGCCCUACCCACACAAAUGUCAGGGACCCUGCCCAUACGAAUAUCAGGGAUCACUCUAAACCAGUCCUAACUGUAAAAGAUGUCUAACAAUCACAGUCUCGUACUAUCAUAACACCAAAAAUCGACAUCUAAACAAGGUCGUAAUGAAUGAUAGGGUCGAGGGAAGACAUCUGAAUCACCCACUUGGCUACUACAACUCCUGCCGUGGGUGACUCCUGAUGAAUAAAAAUGUCAUCAAGAGUGCGGGUCAACAAUGGGAUAAAAACGUCUCGGGCAACAAGGCUGACAACGAAGGAGGCUCUGACUAGCACCGUUACGGCAACAGUCAAUCUCGGGAAGGGUCAAUGACGACAAGCACUCCAAUGGUCGACGUCCAUCACGAUCAAAAUUCAAAGAAUAUGUAUGUCCAACAUAGAGCGACCCGCUCGAAAACACAUAGACUUGUAUACAUACAUAAACCUUGAACAAGGACAGAUAUGAUCAAAAUAAGCUUAUCGAGAUAUGAUGACAAACAUCAUAAUAUACAAAAUGUCCAUGUCGAUCGCGAAGCAUAUGUCCUUUUUAAGAAAACAUAUACCGCCUAAACAGCCGCACGGGCCCCUUGCACGUUAGGCCCCGCACUGUCUAAAUUCAACCAUAGUCUCGAAACGUAAUCCAGCAACCCUGGAUCCUUUGGAUUCAACCGUUUGGAGUUCUUCCGUUCUGCGCUCUCCGCACUAAAUAGCGCUUUCAGUGACUAACUAAUAAGAUUGAGGAGGACCUCGCCUCCCUCACUAACUUCCUCAAAGACAAAGCCAGGUCUUUUUAAUACAACCGACGUCUGCUGUAUUAAAAUUCCUCUUUGUCCCUGGCGAAAGAUCUGAAAGCAAAUUAACCCAGCUCUCACAAACACAAAAUAAAUUGGAAGGAAAGCAAAGAACCGUCGACAUAUAGCUGCAGCACCAGCUGGCAGCAACGCCCUCGCACGUGUCAGCUGCGCCCUCGUACGGCAUGGGGGACUCUACGGACUCGUCCAUCUCGGCUCACGUGUUGGCCUCCGCUCACGUGGGGGACUAGACUCUCUCGUCAACCGACGGAACUGACUCCACUGGUUCGUUGUCCCCCUCAACAAUGUCUCCGACACACUCUCCUAUCGAGGUGGCGUCUCAUGUCGUGGACUCGUCGGUCAAGGUAGAGGCUGAUGAGAUCACUGUCGUGGUCGACGUCGUCAUGGAGGUGGUCGCCGUCAAGGGGGUCGCGGCCAAUGUAGAGAAUCACUCCGAGGCGUCUACUGGUUCCGACUCGUCCUCGCCUACCGACUCUCUGAGCAGGCGAAAGUAGCAAAACUAGGUGGCUGGAAACUACCGUCUACAAGUGUCCGGACCCAACAACUCCUGACCCAGUCGCGCUACCUCUUUGACAAACUCUUAAACAAAUAAGGACUCGCCCUCGUCCAUGUGGACCCUCAAGUGACGAACUGUCCUCUACAUGAACGUACCACCUCCUCUCACUCUGCUCUGAUAUCCAACCACUGGAACGUCUACUCUACCCUAAUCAAGACGCCGUACGAUAUACCCUACAUAAAGAGGUUGUCACAUUUCGUCUUUGAGUUCCUCCUAAACUUCUCCGAAGUCGUCCCUUUCGCUGGUCAAGUCCUCAUGUAGGCAUUCAAAUGAGCUGAGGACUUAACACAAGGUAAACACGGGUCCCUGCUCCGCGUGUCUCAAAUGGACAAGCUCGCUCCAAACUCUAGCCUCUAGAAGGCCAACCAAGUCCGCGUCUCCAACUCCUGGAACCUACGUAGCUACCUCGUCCGAGAAACCCAUUUCUCCCCACUACGUAGGUAAGCCUUCUCCUGAGUCCGUCACCCCGUCUCAGUCCUAUCCUUCGCGGGGAAAGGCCUACUACCUCCUGUCAGCUCAUCGUCUGCAGACGGCUCCGGAGGUGCUAGUGCGAGAGUCCCAGCACCCAGAAGCCCCGUAGUCGCUAGACCCCCUAGGCCAGUCGUCCCUGUCGGUGGCUCCUGUGGCGUCACACACUAGACGCCCCCUGGGGUGACCGGGGCCGUCACGCUCGUCUCUCUCCCGUCCACAAUAUCAACGCCAGUCGUUUUUCAUAUAUAUAUAUAUAUAUAUAUAUAUAUAUAUACACAUAUAUAGAAGCAAAAUGGGAGUUGGGUUUUGCUUAUCUAGCUCAGUUUUAGCCUCAACUCCUAACUAAAAUUUGUGUUCUUUGAGGUGGAUUUGUUAAUGCUUUUGAAAUCUUCAUCAACCUCGGGAAUGGAGAGGCCACAAUUUGUGCGGCAUCAUGGAGUGCUGAGGCUACCCCCUGGGUUCAGGUUCCACCCUACUGAUGAGGAGCUUCUCGUCCAAUACCUUAGAAGGUCUUUUCAUUCCCUCUCCCCGCCGCCGUCAUUCCCGAGAUCAAUCUCGAAAACCACGACCCUUGGGAUCUGCCCGGUCCGUAUUAUUACUAUUUUUUUUAUUAAUUUUCAUUUCAUUGCGUAUUGACUUAAAGUAUCACUCGUUUACGUACUUACGUGCGUACUUAGGCGGCGGAGAUGAGGCGGAGGAGGAGGAGAGGUACUUUUUUAAUCUGAGACAAUCGAAUUGCGCGAAAAAGGGCAACCGGUCGGCCCGGCCGACGAGGUCCGGCUACUGGAAGGCCACGGGGAAGGACCGACUGGUUGUCGCCGCCUCCCGGCCCGACCGGACGGUGGGGACGAAGCGGGCUUUCGCCUUCUACCUCGGGAAGCCCCGCCGCGGCUCCCGGACUGAUUGGUUCAUGCACGAGUACAGCCUCUCCGCCGACGAAAUUCGAGCCUUUACCAUGUGCCAUGCAAAGAAUGCAACCCUCCAUAAUAUUGUGAGAUUUUCCAAUCUUAAUUGAUCUCCUUGUUUAUUUAUUGCUCUAAGAUUAAAAAAGGGAAAGGAAACAAUAUUAAUUUGGUGCAAGAUGAUAAAACUUCUAUUGAUUGCUUACUAAGAACUACUCUUGGUUGUGUAGAGUUCAAUGUUUGAGAUCAAAGAUUGGGUGGUUUGCCGCAUUUUUAAGAAGAACCGAGCGACGAAGUUCGACGCGGGGAUCAAGCGUCGGAGUACUGAAUUUGCCCGUUUUGUUACGCGGCAGAGCAAUAAUCAACAGCCGAAUUCGCCGUUAUCGUCGUCGUCGUCGUCGUCGAGCUGUGUCACCGAUCUUUCGGAUAAUGGAGAGGAAAAUAGCAGCUGCAAUAUAGAUUCCUCCCCUAGAGAGGAUUAAACUUGUACUCCUUGUUCCUUUUUUUUGGUGCUUCUUCCUCCCCCGUCCCUUGUGUACCAAAAGUUUCAAUCUAGUAAAGUUGGGCUCGAGCAAACCUUUACUCAAAAGGUUUCAAUUUGAGAGAAAUUAAGAUGAAUUACAAAUUAAAUGGCUGUAACUAGUAACUACUCACUCAAAAGUUUGUACACAAAGCAUAAAAGAGGAGAGAAUGGAAAGUGAGGGGAUAAACUUAGAUGGUUUUUGUUGUCCUUUUAGGAUCAUCCAAUGCACUAAGAAAGAGAAAGAAUUGAAAAAUAACAAAAAAAAGAAAAAGAAAAAGAGAAAAGAAAAAAUAGCAAGAAAAGAUAGCAAGAAAAGAUAAGGCAUUUAUAUCCAUGUGGUGUGAGAAGGAGAUGCCAAUUAGAGAGAGAGAGAGAGAGAGAGAGAGAGAGAGAGAGAGGGGAAUCCAUCAAAAGAAUAAGAGCUUUGGCUGAGAAAGUUUGAUUAGGGGCUUUUAUGGGGCCCCUGAAAAAUACAUAUCCCAGACAAGAGAAUCUAUCCCCAGAUUUUGCCUUGAAUUUGAGGAUGUGAGGAUCACAUCAGAAAAAAAUGACUUGUUUUGUAGCACUGCAUUGUUCAUUAGUCUCUGAGUUUGAAGUUACUGACCAAGUCCUUUUUUGGACCACCAUGUUAGGCAAUGAUGCUGUAGUGACUUAACACCAACUAUGGUUGUGUCCCUAAUUAGUAAUUUACUAUAGAAACUGUAAGACCAAAGUUUCUGAUGCCAAAUUAAAGAAUAAAAAAAUUGCGUACUAAGUACAGCGAUAAAAGUACGGCGCAUCGAUCAUAGGAGAGAUUAAAAAAAGAAAAAAAUGAAUCAAUUAUUGUAGCUGGUUUGAUUAAGAAAGCGCGAUGGAGGUACCACUGUAUGCAAGAUCUAGCCCACUAACAAGGGGAUAAAAGAGAAGGAACCAAAUGCAAUUAUUGAAGGGAGCAUAGAAUUCGCGAAUUCAACGAAGUCGAUGUAAGAGUUAGCGUAACGAUAGCUACCACCAAUGAAAAUCAUCUUUCUGUCAAUUAUUAGUUCCUAAUUUUAGGGUCAUAUGUAUCCUCCAAGAUUCACAACUACAGCAAAUUCCUAUGCUAGGUGCACAUUUCAUGCCAAGUCAUAGCUUUUCCUUGGUGUGUAGAUUGACUAAGUGGUUAUAUGACACCCUAAUGAAUGAAACGGAGAGGGACGCGCGCGUUGCUGUGCGUACUGGUAAUAGUAGUAUUACAGCUGAAAAUUUUGAAUUUUGAUCGAAGUAUUUAGCGUUCAAAGUUACAUUCCCUCUUAUAUAUUGUCCGCAUUUUUUUCGUUGAAAACACAUGCAGCAGACACUUGAUUAAUUUUUUGCAUGCCAGCUUUAAUUUGGCCGUAUAUUCGAUCAACAAGUAUGGUUUUCAAUAUUAACUCUCGUGCAUUUUUCAAAGGGAAUAUAUGCAUGGUAGUGUGUAUGAAUUCGAAAUAUUAACUCUAGUGGUGGUCAAAUAUAGAGUCCGGCUGCGAUAAUAUCGAUAGCAUCAAGAAUUUAAUGCUAUCGAGUUUUUCACCGUUAAAUUUAAUUUUUUAAUUAUUUUUAUCCGUUAGAUUAUACUAUUUAACCAACCACUCACUCAACCCUAGAAAGCCCACAUCAUUCUAACAACACAUUUCUCAAUCAAAGAACUAAAAAACUAAUAGCACAAAUAGUUUGGUGCUAUUGAUAGUUUUCCAACCUAGUUCGUCAAAUAUAUAUGUAGAUUUAACUAAUCAACUUUGUUAAUUAUAUGUGUGUGUGUGUGUGUGUCAUGGGACCAUGCAUGCAACUAAAGAUGCGAGAGUUUCACUUAAUUAAGGGCGUUUGGAUUGACGAAUCUGUAGAUCCAACGUAAGUCAAGUAUAGUGGUGUUUGAGUUUCCAUGAAGUGUGAUUAUUUUUUUGUUAUUUGUUUUGACGUAACUCGUACAAUCUGAAAAUUAAAUUCAAUUAUUUUUUCUGUUUAUUUUGAUGUAACUUGGUGCUGGUAAAAUUAAUUUUUUUAUUUUUAUUGUUUGUUUUGAUAUAAGUUAGUGGAUCUCGUUAUCUCCUAAAUAUAGUGGUAAAUUUACCGCUAUAAAAUUUAACCUAUUAUAAAAUUAAAAUUUUUAUUAUUAUUUAAAGAUAAUUCUAAUUUAUUAUAAAUAAGGUAAUUCUAUCUCACUAUAAAGGGAGUAAAGUUUAUGUUUUACUAUUUAAUAAAUUUUUUAGAGGAGGCCGAGUGUGGCGGAAGUCAAGUUCGGCAUUUUAGGAAAAAAAAAUCAAGAAUAGAUGAGGUGAAGGUCUAAUGUAACUUAAGUUACAUUAUAUUUUUCACUUACACCAAAAUAAAAAACGAAAGCGAUGAAACUUGAGUUCCAUUACUCUACUUACACCAAAACAAAUGGACCCAGGGCACAAUCUCUACUUCCUUUUCCAUGAUCGGUUAAAAGAAGGCCCACUUUGCACCCCUUUUUCUCUGCCUCACCUUCAAAAGUCCAUGCAUUAUUGGAUCUCUGACUUGGUUUCCUUUGAAGCCAAUUUCAUGGAAUUAAUGUAAUCCCACCUUUUUCUAAUGAAAACUUUUAAUUCCUGUUUCCUUUCUCAGGGUUUGGAGCCACUUACUCCCAACUACCACGUGAUUAAGGAACUUGAGCAAAUGAAAGUACGUAGCAAGAAAAUCAUUAUAACAGUAAUUACGGAAUCCGCCGAAAGAAACAUGUAGCUAGGGUGUUAAUGGGUCAGAUUUGCGUAGGAUCUCUGUAUCUAAAUAAUCAGUAAGCUACUCCGUACAUCGUACAUCGGAUGUACGUGUUUUGAAAUUUCUAGAUCAAAUCAUAACUUAUAUUUCAUUUUUGAUUACGUGUAGUGAAAUUCUCACUCAUCUUCACCUGGAGACAUAGGCUUUAAUUGUUGAGUCCAUUAACAUCCUAUGAAAUUAAAUAUCUUUGUUUGAAAAACAUAUGUGUAUUAUUAUGGGAUCGAGUUGGGCUUGAUCAUGGAGGUGGGUGGGGCACCAUGGGGACUUGAAUGUUCGAGUAAUGUUGGGAACACUUCAUGUGAGCACCACAUGCAGGUUCAUAACUAGGGGGAGUCCUUUUGCAUGCACAAAUCCAACAUAAAAAGGAAUAGGUUGAGUAGAAGAAGGGAUUUCCCCUUGUACUAACCCACAAGCCAAAAGUUCCUUUGUUGAUUGGUCCCAGUGCUUGAGAAGGAAUCCAAUAACACUACUGUUGUACUGUUGGAGGAGGCUGCAAACUUUUGAAUAGAUUUGAGUCAGCAAAGAGACACAAAGAUUGCAAACAAAAGCAAUUUGCUUUGAUCGAGAAAAGCUUUUUGGGCCAUUUUGCAGUGUCUUCAAAAGCAUUGCAGGGACUUGAUUAAUUAGUAGCUAACCUUACCACCCCAUGAAGCCAUCCAAAGUGUUUCCAUAUAAAUUCUCACAUUAAUUGCAACAUUGGCCAUCCGACUUUCCGCGAGUUUCACUUUCGCUCAAGGACGGCUAACUUGGACAUUCGACAUUCUGAAUUUUUGAAAGCGCUUUUUUUUUCACUCCGGUCACUUUCUUUAUUUACCGGUAGGGGAGUAGGUAGGCCCAGGAAUCUAUUGCCAACUCUUUCAGCGCGUUUGUUCAUCCGCGAAGCAUGAAUUUAUCAUUCGUGAGUUCUAUCUCGUAUUUCUGAGCCACACCGGACGUACACUAACCUACGGCCUUUUCUUCGCUGGCUAUUAUUGGAUUCCUACGUAGGAAAAAGCAAGGCAAUGGUAAUUUCAUACUGAAAUAUGGCAAGCGUAUCUCCUUCUGUUAGAAAAUCAGAUUAGGGAGAUGCCAGCAGCACUGCCAACAUCCAUAUGCUCUAGACAACGAUCUAUAUACCUAUACAUUAUUCUCCAAAACAAAAGCCACGUGGCGGAGUUUUCUUCCUUCAGCGAAACCAUCUCUUUGCCUUUCCUUCACCUAUAACGUCUAAUUAAUAAUCCACUAACCUAUCCACUGACCUUAACCCAACCCUUCAUCUUUUCUAUACACAUAACGUCGACUUCUCUCCACCUAUAACAUCUAAUUAAUAGUUCGCUCACCUUAGUCCAACCCUUCACCUUUCCUACAAACAUAACGUCUAAUUAAUGAUUCACCUACUUUAAUCCUAAUCUAAACAGUAAAUUUUUUCUUCUUCUCUACUUUCUUUUCCUCCUCCAUGAGCUCCGAAGCUAAGAUCAAGCACAUUAUGUGGAUAGAGUAUAAGUUUGCACGCUGCAUCGCCGAGCUUAGCGUUGUCAUCUUCAUCAAAUCGAGCUUUCCUUCAAAUUUUAGGAGUUAUUUUAAAAGAUUUAUGUAUUCUUUAUGUUGUAUUGUUGAAAUUUCUUAGAUAGUUUUAUUCAGUUUUUUUAUAUUUUUUUUAUUUGCAUGGUAUUCAAACUAAUGUGUUUAUUAUGUUAAAGAUUUAUUGUUUUUUUCUUUUUCUAUCCUUUUUUUUUAUAUUUUUUUUUGCGAAAGUAAAGUUCUGUAUUAUAUUUAUUGUAUUUGGUUGUGUUAGGUUGUAUAUCUUUUUGUCUCUUAAAAAUUUAUUAUAUAAUUUUUCAUAUGCUUACUUUGUUUCUACUUUCAUGACUCUUUUUAUUAACUGAUAUAAGAUGUUUAUAAAAUUAGAUUGAUAUAUGAUCUAAAAAGGUCUUUAUUUUCUUGAAGGGAUAAGUAUCUUAGCUUAUAUAGAAAAUGAGGGAAUAAAAAUAUAACUUAUACAAAAAAAGUUUAACUCUUUGAUUGUUUUGAUUUAUAAAAUAUUAAUUUUUAUUAGAUUUUUUAUCUAAAUCUCUCCCAAAUAAUAUGUCAUUUUUCGUCUCAAUAGGUUAUCAUACUUAUUAUCUUUCUAUGAAUAUUUUGUUACUAAUCAACUUUAGCAAAUUAAUAAACUUUUNAUUAUCUUUCUAUGAAUAUUUUGUUACUAAUCAACUUUAGCAAAUUAAUAAACUUUUGCAAGAAGCCAAUAUGUUUCGGCCAUUUUGAUUUUUAAAAUAAUAAUAAAUUUUUGAUAUAUUAGUUAGACACUAAAUUUAUUUUAAUAGUAUUUAUCCGUCGCAAUACACGAGUUACUACACUAAUAGAGCAAAAAUUUAGUAGGGACCGUUCCAAAAGUGAGAUCAUUAGAUCCACCGUUUGUAUUGCUUCGAAAGACUGAAAAUGGAUGCGGAAAAGUGGAAGGCCCAGUAGGUCAGCCCAGCCUAUUUUGUUUGUGCCGUAAAUGGGCGUUAAAAGCUGAUUUCAUAAGUCUAUCUAGGCUUCGUUUAAGAUUGCCGGAAGAUUGCGUUACGUACGGUUAGAAAGUAUAUUAGAAAAAUAUUCUAUUUUUUUCCGUACGUAAUAUUGUGUUCCGCAUAUCGCAAUGAGUCGGUUACGAUAUAUUUUCUGCGUCCCACAGAAGCAUAUCCCCAUAUGUUGGUGAAAACAGCCUUGGUGUGGGCCCCACCUGUCAGGCUUGACCUAAUAAAUUAUAAAUAAAAACCCCAACGGUCAACACCAGGUUAACUAUAGGGGAUAAUGUCGAACAACUAAUUCCAAGCUAGCAAGCUAUUCUCGCGCGGCUUAUUCCCCCGCUAUUCUUGCUCCCUUUUUAUAUUCCCCCAUUCCACCAACGGUCGCUGCACUAUUUUCGAUGGACCGUGUUCACCACGUCGUCCAUAAAUGGAAGAGUCCUCUUCUCGCCAACUGAAAGUCUACACCGUGCGGUUUACGGAUGACGUGGUGAACCACGCUCGGGGAAUUUUGUUGGGCAAACGGGCGGUCAAGAUUCCACGAAGCCCAGCUCAUCCCUCCCGCGACGAGACGCCACGUGUCCGCAACCUCCUCGCGCACUUCCCCCUCCCAAAAAUGGCGAAGGGGCGACCGCGAAACCCUCUCGUCCCCUCCCAUCCCUCCAAAACCCUAACCCUAAUCCCUUCAAAAUCCCGUCCCCCUCCUACCCCGAUCGCCCUCCCCGUCCCCGAUCUCGAUCGCAAGCGUAGUUGUGGUAGCAGGGGUAGUUGCUCACCUCUUUCUUCGUUAGAUCGCGGAGCGCUGGGGGAUGGGGUGCGGGGCGUCGAAGCUGGAGGCGGAGGAUGAGCUCCCGCCGGGGCUGCGGCCGAUCCGGCGCAAGAUCGAGGAGGUGAAGCGGCGGCGGCGGCGGUCGAGGUACAGCAUCGUCUCCACCACCGAGCUCCUCUGCCCCGAGGACGACCGCGACGGCCCCGCUGCUGAUGCUGAGGGUUCGUCGCGGAAGGUGAAGGCCUCGGCGGUGGCGCCGGAGCCAGAGAUCCCGGAGGAGGAGGAGGUGGAGGAGGUGGUGGAGGAGAAGCCGAAGUUUGAGGCGGCGGCGGCGGCAACAGCUGCGGAGGAGAAGGAAGAGGAGGCGAGGAAGGUGGGGAAGGGUACGAGGGUUGAGGGGGCGGAGGACGAGGAAGAGGUGGAGGGGGAGAUGCUGGGGUCGCCGAGUUUUAGGUUCUACUUCGUCGACGCGGUUCGCGACUCCGACGACGACUCAGUGAAGUUGGCCGGGUUCCAGGGGAAAGGUAUAACCAAAUCUUAGAAUACAAUGUUCGGCUCUGAAGGAAGAAGCUAUAAUUUGAAACUUACGCUUCUGAUGCAGCGAGAAGCUGCUGAGAAGCUCGUUUAGCUUCUCGCCAUCGAACUUUUUGCUACCGUGCAGCAGCCAUAGCUUAUCUUCUGUUACUUCACCGGUUUCUCCUUGCAUUAGUAGUUUCUAACCACGUAGCUUAAUCGCGAAGCAGAGAAACUCGAAGAAAUCAAGGAGAAGGACCAUGAAAGGGAGGAAGCCGCCGAGUCGGUUAACCCGAAUGAGGUACAUCACAAUGAACUUUCUACAUAACAGGAUGCUUCAAAACUAUUUUUUGAAUGCAGCUCUUCGAAGUCAUGUGCUUCAUUCACUCAAUAUCGUAACAAAUUUUAUAAUUCAUAUGUUUGCUAUUCGAAUUUAACUUAGCGACAGAAACAUAUAACUUCAUUAGGCUUCGCAUUUUGGAAAUUUCUUUUCUUCGUACUUUUGCGGGGGUGGUUAGCAAAAUUCAAAUGGUUAAGUUAAUUAUUGGUCAUGAAUCAUUGUUUUUUUUUUUUUUUUUUUAAAAAGAAGUUACUUUCAAAAUCCUUCAUUUAUGGUUUGUGCUCUAGCUGAUCUCAUACUGUUAAGACAAAAGAAUAGAGAGUAUUAAUGAGACAUCAACUGUAAAAUUUGCUCUACUUAACAGCAGGAUUCAGAAUCCAAACAAGUGAAGAAGGAGAAGCCGAAGAAACUUCGGGCCCUGACGAAGGCACCAAGCGCGGUUCGUAACUUGUUUAACGUCCGUAACUGCUACAGCAACCCAUCCUCUGACACAAACAAUGUAAACCACCCUCGCCUCUUAACCGGCACUUCGGCGUAGGGAAGCUAAUGCGGCUUCUUUAGUUUCCAAAAUGUGACUGAAAGAUUGAUUUCUUGUUAUGUCUGCUCUGUAUCCUGUUUGUUUUGGUUGUCGUAUGUUGUUAAACUAAUCUAAAUUCGCGUAAGCUGCAAAUGUUGUGAGAGCAGGACCAUGGUUUAUUAGGGUUCCUCUCUUUCAAGAACUCUUGUAAUUGAAAUCCACAUAUUAUACCAUAUUCUUUGUUUCACAGAUUGUUUUGUUCAAAAUUACGGUUUGAGUCAUUAAGCUUCAAAUUCUGUUCCAAAUUGGAUUGCUUUUACAUCCAAAAAGUUAUUUGGAGAUGAUGUGAUAUUUAAAUCAACUCCUAUCCCAUCUUAAAAGAAUAUAAAGAUCGAUGACGUGAUCAUUCGUAGGAAAUGACAUAACAAUUGAAUUAGCAAUGUGACAGCUGAAUUAACUUUCAAAUCAUUCGUUCACGAAAACUAUAAUACGCAGCUCAAUGAAUCGAAUUAGUUCAGUGAUUCAAAUGCAAUCAAGCUGAAGUUUCAUAAUUUGAUUUAAAAUAUGUUUCAUUUUUGGGCUUUAAAGCUCAAGUUGUUCUUGUUUACAUGUGAUAAGAGUGAUGUGAUAUUAACAAGGGUGGUGGUUGUGCAUAUGUUAUAUAUACAAGCUCUCCUACAAUAUCAUAUCAUAUGUUAUAUAUAUAUACAACUCUUGGUGCUAUGAGUAGUCAUCAACCUCUAACUUAUCCAUCUAUACUUUUCAUUUAUUUAUCUAUUUAUUUAUUUAUUUUAUCUUUUGAAUUAUUAUAAUAACUAAACCAUCCUUGUCACAUGCAAAAGUGUUCUUCUGCACACUUCACCUCUUUUUUACCUGUACUUCCCAUAACCUCUUGCCUAGGGGUGUCAUCGGGCGGAACACAAGCUUGGCUCAUAAAGUAUCGAGCUGAAAAAUUCGGCUCGUGUUCGACUCGUUAAUAAACAGCUGAACACGAGCUGGCUUACGAGCUGGUCAAUAAACAAUAAGUUAAAAGAAUUAAAUUAAAUAUAUAUAAAAUUAAAUUUAUAAAGUGUUACUAUUAGACUUUGAUCAAAUAAUUGAAACUUUACAUAUAAAUGAGUUUUUUUUUUAAUAAUUCAGCAAAAUUUAAAAUAAUAAAAUAUAUAUUUAUAGAUAUAAUUAUUUAUAUAUAUAUAUAUAUAUAUAUUAAAUAAGUUAUAUAAAUAUAAAAUAUAUGUAUUCGAGUUGUUAUCGAGCCGAACAUGAACGAGCUGACCCAGCUUGUGUUCGGCUCGUUUAUUUAACGAGUUGAAAAAUUUAGCUCACGUUCGGCUCGUUUAUCAAACGAGCGAUUCGAUCUCGAGCUCAUUUCGAGCCGAACACGAGCUGGCUCGCGAACAGCGAGCUGGACUGCCACCCUACUCUUGCCCAUUUCCUCAGUUUUUUAUUUUUUUUUUUAAUUUUUUUUAUUUUUGCUGGGUCACUGUGGGGCAAGGGUAAAAUUGCAUUACUUGUCCCUAAACUUUACUCCAAUUUUAUUUUAAAAGUUUUUAGAAGUUGUUUGAAUAGAGUUAUUCAAAAUAGCACCAUUAAUUCAAAAUAACACUAUUAAUUUAUUUUAUUAUAAUCUUAUUUACAACUUGUUGCUCUGGCAUGAGAAGAAACUUUAAUUUAGAGCUUUAGUUCGGAAACUCAAAUGCUUUUUUUUUUUUUAAGACAAAAACAAUGGGAUUUAGCUUUUCAUUGUAGAAAAUUUUUUAUAGUUUCCUUCGCUCUGGGCUAGAUAAUCUGAAAUCAAACCCUAUUUCAGGAAAAAAAAGAAAAAGAAAAAGUAUACAUGUCUGUAACCUGCAAACAUCUUCAACAAUCCCUCAAAAAAAAAGAAAAAUAGUACAAGAUAAUUUGAAACAAAUAUCCCAAUGGCUCCAUUUUAAACUAUUCUUUACUUCAUUACUAGUGUAGGUACCCGCGCGUUGCAGUAGAUAAAUUUCGUAGAAAAUAAUAAUAAAAAAGUCAAAGAGUAAAAAGAAUACAAAUAAAAGAAACUUAAAAAGAAGCAGCAGCUGCUACAAAUUUCUAUGUAUAAUAGCAGUAAAAGUUGUAGAUUAAAAUAUUAUAUGCCUUAUAGUCAGAGUCAAAAAUUGCAAAUAAUUAAAGUUUGAGAACUAAAGCAUCACGUGCCUCAUAGUUUAAGUAAGAAAAAUAUAACACAUUAAAAUUCGAGAAUUAAAAUGUCACAUGUCUUAUAGUUUGGAAUCAAAAACAUAAUUUAUUUUUUUAUAUUUUAAUUCUAUUUCAAACGAAGACAAAACUCUAUAAGAUAUGUUAAAUUAUUUAAUAAUUUUUUCAAAAGAUUUUAAAUGUAAAAUUAAUCGCUUAUCAAAUUAUGAAUAUUGCAUUGAAGUUUGAUAUAAAAAUCAAAGUAAAACACAUAACAUUUUUUAAAACUAUAAACUAUUUUGAAUUAGCUAUCCAAUCUUUCAAAAUUUUAUUUUUACUAUCUAAUCUUUUUACGUGUUAAAUUUGAGUGAGUAAAUAAUACAUUAACUUUAAAUUUAAAUAUGUCGUUUAGCUUAUAGAUUUAGUUAAUAUACUUCACGUAAUUUCCGCAACUAAAUUUAGUAAAAUAAAUUUUAACUUAAAUUCUAUCAAUCUUUUUUUUAUUAUUCAUUGUACAAUUUAUAUCUAAGUGAUCAAUAUUAUAAAAUUAAAAUUUAUAUUUAAUACAUAUAAUCUACACUAUUUAAAAAUUAUGUGUAAAAAAUUAUAUAGUUUAAAUUUUUAUGACAAAAGAGAGGAGAAUUAGAUUGAUUUUUUUAAAAAAAAUUAAUUUCUUUAGGCCUAAUUAGUGGACAGUAGAUUAAAAAAAAGAAAAAAUAAAAUAACUCUGUUAGCUAUUAACAUACAUUGAUAUUGAACUAAUCAUGGCAUGAAAAAAUAGGAGGAAAAAAUAAAAAGAAGUACAUGUUUCUUCAUUUCAAACCAUUAUUUAUUUUACUAUAUUAAACUAAUGAUGGCAUAAAUAAAUAGUUAAAAAAAAUAAAUAAAAGAACAAAUGAUAGGUGUCAAUCAAGCAAUGUGGUGGUAAUUCCAAAAUUAGUGGUCCAAAUCAAAAGUGUACUUAUGCUAAAUAAUAAGAAUCUAUUUGUUUUAAGCAACAUGAUAUAAUAUAAUAAUAAUAAUAAUAUAUUAUUUUGGCUCAAUCUCAAGACACUCCAAACCAAACAAUUUAAAUUAUGACAUGUUUAUUCUUAUUCUUCUUGUGACCUUUCCUUAUCUAAAUUUCAACCCUUUGAAUCUUUUUCCAUUCAAAUAGUUUGACAAGUUGCACUAGGAUACUAAAUGCUUUAAUAUAAUUACAAUUAAAUUUUUACAAUCUUUUAUGGACACUUCCACUUCAAUAUGAAAGAUAACAAUAAAAUUCAAAAAAAAAAUUAAUUGUAGUAAUCUUAAGGUUCAAAAUGAUAUUGAAACUUUGCUAAUUAACAUGUUGAGGAUCAACAGCACAACAAAAGAUCGGCCACCAUUUUAAUUUUAUUCCGUUAGCACGUGACAGUCACGUAGUUGUAAAACAAAUAUUUUUUUUUAAGAAAAAUCAAGUAGGCAAAAUAAAAUAAAAAUGAAAUUCUACGAAGAAAACAUCAAAUUAGCAACAUCCAAGAACGAAUCUUAGUUAAGAUUUGGUGCUAAAAAUAAAAAAAAUAAAAUAUUUCAUCUAAACAUAGAGAUGGUUGUUGCAAAAAAAUGAAAUGAAAUAAAAUAAAAUAAAAUAAAAUUAUGGGAGUGCGUUGGCCUCGAUAUUAAAAAAUAGCUUUGAAGAGCAUUAAUUAUAGCAUAAUUAGAACAAAGAAACCAACAUUGAUCCUAAUCACAUUGCAUUUUUAUUUGGCUUAAUUCUAGUUAGUAAAACAAAUAUUUUAUUAAAUUUAAUAACUCUGUUAGCUAUUAUUUAUUACAGUUCAAUUUAUUGAAACAUAAUUAAAGUUAUUAAAUUUGCAAAAGCUAUUUUGCAGUUGCAUGGUAAGAAUAGUUAAUUUUAAGUAACUAAAUAACUCAAAUGAAAAAUUAAAAGUUACUAGUUCAAAAUUCGAGGUCCAUUUCAAAAUAUUCUACAGUUGAGGGGGUCUGCGUGCAUUUUUACAAAAAAAAAAUAUAUAAUGCGGAAAAAAGGGAGCAAUCUCGGCCGUUGGAUAAAGAAGAAGAAUCAAAUUCCGCCUUUUCUAUCCUGAGAAGGUAAAAUUGAAUCCUAACAGGUCCUUUUCUGCAAUUUUUCUUUUGUCCUCAUAUCAAAACUUAAUUUUGACACAAGGGGUUUGAUGCAAAAACGCUCCCCCAAACAUAUUACUACAGCUACCUCCUCUUAUCUCUUAUCUCUCUCUCUCUCUCUCUCUCUCUCUUCAAUCUCUUGCGAUUUUUCUCGCGCCUUCCCAUCUCACUGCAGCGUAAUUUCCCCAACUUUUUAAUUUUAUUCUAGUUUAUUUUUCUAAUCUGAAUUGGAGGCAUAGAGAUCUAAUUCCAGUUUAUUUUUCGCUCGUGGAUUUGGGAUUUUUUUUGGGAUUUUUUGUGUACAAUUUUGAGCCUGGAUUGUUCUAGAAACCCCAAUUUAUACUGAUCCGUCAUUUUAUUUCUUUUUUUUUUUUAAUUCGACAGGACGAUGUUGGGGGUUGCGAGGCGAAAGAUCGCAUGCGAAAGCAUCCCUGCUGCGGUAAUUAAUCACUGAAGAAUUAUUUUAUUUUUUUUUUGAAAUUUUUGAUAUAUGUUUUGAGAUUAAAUCAUUGAUUUGUGGUGCUAUUUGUGUGUGUGUAUAUAUAUAUUUAUAUAGAUUUUAGGGCAGGCCUUGCAAAGGAUUCGGCCUCUCGGAUCCAUUUUGCCGAGGAAUUACUCGAAUGGAGCAAAAGAGGUACCAUUUUUUUUUUUUUUGGGGGGGGGGCGGUUCAACUAGUGUGCAAAAAUGUAAAAAAUGGAUAUAAUGAUGUUAUAUUGAUAAUUGGUGAUAUGUCAACCUGCUGUAGAAUUUUUUGUUGAUUUUUAUGAUGAUUUGUUCAUAAAUUUUGAUGUAUGCGGGUACCUCUUAAUUGUGGGAAUUGAUAUGCCAAAGUUAAUUAAUCCAUUGAAUUUGAUUAGCAAAUAUUGGUUUUCUUAAUUCUUGUGUAAUUUUGCAUCGUUUGGUACGAACUCGAACUUGAUUUGUCUUCGAGCACAUAUAUUAAUUUUUGAUUAAGUUUGUGUUAUAGAUGAUGGUGCGUGAAGCUUUAAACUCGGCGCUCGAUGAGGAGAUGUCCGCGGACCCCAAAGUUUUCCUGAUGGGGGAAGAGGUAUUAUUGUUACUUAACGCGAGCUUUUUUGAUUUGGGUUGGCAUAUGUUUGUUUUACCCUAAUGGAUCGCUUGCUAAUGUAGGUCGGGGAGUAUCAAGGCGCCUACAAGGUUAGAAACCAAAUAGAAAGCGAGCUUGAUUGACCUUCUAUUGAUUUAAUUGUAUUUGGUAAAUCGUGUUGCUUCUUACUGCAGAUCACCAAGGGUUUGCUAGAGAAGUACGGCCCUGAUAGAGUGCUCGAUACUCCCAUCACAGAGGUUGUAUUCUCAUGCCCUAUUCAUCAAAUCAUCUGCAUUUUCCUUCUGUCUCUAAACUCUGUUGUUUUUGAACAAUUCUAGCUAGCGACUCUCUAUCUCACGAACAAUUGCUCCUCAUAUUUGUUUUGUUUUUGUUCUCCCUCUAAGCUCUAUUUGCAAACAGUUCUAGCCAAUUAAUCUCUCUCUCUCUCUCUCUCUCUCUCUCUCUCUCUCUCUCUAGAAGUCGUUCACUAAGGCUAAUUUCUCAUUACUAUUCUGUUUUGACUUUGCGCUUGUAGGCUGGUUUUACUGGAAUUGGUGUCGGUGCGGCGUAUCAUGGCCUUCGACCUAUUGUGGAAUUCAUGACAUUCAACUUCUCCAUGCAGGUACUUGGCUUUGUUAUGUUUAUGUAGUUCAAAAUAUUUAGCACUAAUUUAUUCAACUUAUUAAACUCAAGAGGUCGUUAUAUGUGGGACAAAGCCAUGUAUUUGAUUGGUUGUAGACCGGUUUAUUUCAAAUCAGCUCCGAGUCCCUCUUUGAAAAAUGUAAAUAUUAUGAAAUAUGCAAGGAGCUUCUGCAAAAAUACUAUUAAAAGCAUAUUGGAGUAAACUAUCAGCCUUAUAGGAAAUAUCUUCUCCCAAAAGCUUCCUGCUGGAGCAAAAGCAGAACCUCCAAGUUGGAUCUUCUACUUUUGGACUCAGAAACUCAUUUAAGCGUCCCGCUAUGGCAAAGGCCCUGCACCUUUUACUUCUGAUGCAUAUCUGCUGCUAAUCAUAGUGUGUGAACUGUUCCAGAAGCCAGUUUAAACAGGCAUGGUCUUUUCUUUUCUAUGGAGUCUUCACCCUCUCACAUCGCCUGUUUAUUUUAACAAUUUCCCCUCUUAUCUUUUAAUACAAACUCUGAUAGAAUGUGAAUUAUGAUUCUGAUGGACAAAGAUUUGUGAUUUUGCGUGUGGAACAUACGUCCCAUCCAAUCUGUGUAUGAUUAAUUUGUUCUUCCACAGGCCAUUGACCACAUCAUCAAUUCUGCUGCAAAGACAAACUACAUGUCGGCUGGUCAAAUAUCUGUUCCUAUUGUUUUCAGAGGACCAAAUGGUGCUGCUGCUGGUGUUGGUGCCCAACAUUCUCAGGUGUAAUUUGUGUCAAGUGCCUAUUUAUCAGUUCUAUCAUUUCCCUCUGUGAAAAAGGAUACAAGUAAUACGUUGGAGACAUCGCUUAUUCUGAGUUCAUUUUUUGCAGUGUUACGCAGCUUGGUAUGCACAUGUUCCCGGAUUGAAGGUGCUAAGCCCCUAUUCAGCUGAAGAUGCUCGAGGCUUGCUAAAAGCAGCUAUUAGGGAUCCAGAUCCUGUCGUUUUCCUUGAAAAUGAGCUUCUGUAUGAGCUUAGUCUUUUGUCAUUUAUUCUAUAAGAGAUAUGAACCAUUAUUAAUGUAAUGCAUUAUGGAUAUUUCUAAUUUUUCAGCUAUGGGGAGUCGUUUCCUGUAUCAGCUGAAGUUCUCGAUUCCAGUUUCUGUCUCCCAAUCGGGAAAGCCAAGGUAUCAGUUUGUAAAUUUUCGUAACAGUAUUUGGAGUAUGCAACUAUUUUUCGAAUAAUUUGCUGCAUUCUUUCCCCCCUUUGAUAGAUAGAGCGGGAAGGAAAACAUGUCACAAUUACGGCAUUCUCGAAGAUGGUUGGGUACGCACUGAAGGUGCGUAACUAUUGUUAACAAUAUUUUGCUUUUUAUAUUAUUUUAGUUAAAAAGCUUCUAUCCUCUUGCAAUGAUUUCCGGAAGUGCUUCAGUUCUUUUAUCUAAUUGCUAGUAAAUAAUGUUCAGGCUGCAGAGAUAUUAUCGAAGGAGGGCAUCAGUGCUGAGGUAACAGAUUCUGGCGAAACAUCUUGAGACUUGCUUUACUGUAAGGGAUGGUGGAAAUUGUUCCAUCAACUCAGCUUGUGUUUCUCUAAUUACCCAAAAAUUAUCGGAAAAUAGGUCAUAAAUCUCCGCUCGAUUAGGCCGCUGGACAGAGCUACCAUCAAUGCUUCUGUUAGGAAAACCAACAGACUGGUGACUGUUGAAGAAGGUUUUCCUCAGCAUGGCGUUGGGGCCGAAAUAUGGUUGACUCUCUCUCUCUCUCUCUCUCUCUCUCUCUCUCUCAAAAUAUUCUACGGAUAUUACAUAGUAACCUACCAAAAGAAACUUCUGAGACGAUUCCCUUCUCUCCCUUUUCAGCAUGUCUGUAGUUGAGGAAAGUUUCGAGUAUCUUGAUGCGCCGGUGGAGAGGAUUUCAGGAGCUGACGUUCCCAUGCCUUAUGCUGCUAACCUUGAGAGGCUGGCUGUUCCACAGGUUGUCUUCUUGGCUUUCUUUUGCAUAUAAAGUUAUGUAACGGAAACACUGUUAGAGCUUCUUUAAAGUUCUGUUUCAAACAACGUCACUCAAAUAGCAGUUCUACGGAAGAUCCAAGCGGGCCAUACAUGCCCUAUGUGUUGAAAUGGCAUUAGUCCUAUUUAUCUUUAUUUUCUACAGGUUGAGGACAUAGUUCGCGCGGCAAAGAGGGCGUGCUACAGGUCGGUUCCCAUGGCAGCAACUGCAUAGAUGAAACAGCACUUCUCUGCGAAUGGCUUGUUUUGUUUUCUUUAUAUAGUUUAGAAGAGAUAAAUAACAAAAUUGUUUAAUGUGAUCUUUGCCACAAGUGAGCUAAUUUUGCGCAAUCAUAGCAAUCUAUGAUAAAGGAUUGUAACCGGUUCUUUUUACAUCAGUUGGUUGAUUGGGACUUCUAUUGUGCGAUACUGGUGUUUCAUUUUCAUAUAUUUUUGUUUUCAUACAUAGUUCAUGCAGGUUAUGUUUUCCUUGUUAAUUUACGAUUAUUAUACGGUAAAAAAAUGAGGGGUGAAUCUUUCAAAUGGAAUAAGUAUUAGCUAUGAAGUUCUACGUCUCACUAAAAGGGGCCAGCAUAAAGGAAAACAAAAGAAAAUUUUGUCACCCAACAAGCCGAAGCAUAUCCAAGAGAGAAUUAUUUCAUUAUAAAUUAUGAAUACACAGUUUAAACAAGCAAUAUAGCAUUUACAUGAACACAAAAUCCGAAGAACUCGAGUACUUCAUGUGUAUUCACAUGCCUUGUUUUAUUCUACUGCUAUAUUCCAUGAUAAAAAUUUCAAACAGCUAUACAUUGUGAGACAUCUAUGAAACUAUAUUGCUAUAAUGAUAAGCUACUGGUGAAAAGCUUAAGCUUAAUCUUUUAUAGAAGGAAAAGAAGAAAAAAGAAACAGAGUAAUCUAUUACAUUGACUGAACCAACUAUACUUUGUGUCGGUUGUGGACCUUUGUUUUCCUUCUUACCUCCAUUGCUUGCCCUAUCGAGUAGGGUCGGAAUGCACCGAUUAGAACAGAGGAAGGAGAAAUUUUGAGCCCGGGGCGAGCUCGAGCGCGAGCUAGAGCCCGAGUCUUUGCUUUCAAAGUCAUCCCUGCAGGAUGAUCUAUGGAACCGAACACUGCCCGGUUCUUUACUUUCGUUGCUUCGAUUAUCGAUGAGGUGAAGAUGUCCUCCGUGCUAUCGAGGGAGGUGUCCAAGUUAUAGCCGAUCGCGGCGUCGAGAUGAGGCGGCGGAAACCUCUCCAUUUUCGUGACGCUUGAACUCGUUAUCAAUCUGGGAAUCUGCAGCAGAUGGAGAACCACCAAAUGAAUAAUUAGGGAACAAAGAAAGAGAUCACAGAUGAUAAUGAUCUAAUACUCCUACAAAAAGAGUUAUUUCACACAUACAUCCUUAAUUGCUUUUGCAUUUCCAUCCACUUCUGGAGUUACCGCGCCUCUAUAGCCUGCAUUGCGCGGUCGAGCUUUCAUUGUUUUCCCGCAUUCUACUGAGGCAUUAGCCCUUUCUUUUCUAUAUCAAUAGAAUAUACACGCAAAGUUUCAUUUUCUGAUUGGAAACAUCUGAACAAACAAAUUUAAUGCGUAUGAGAGAAGGGGCGGGAAAAAGAAUCACCUUCUAGGUUUGUCGCGGCGCAAUUUAAUGUCCAUUUCUUUGCUUGGUGGAUACUGCGGUAGGCUUGACGGUUCACACGCAUAAGGCUCUGUCGUGAAGAACUGAAACCAAUAAUAGCAAUUAUUACAUACAAAUACCAAUUUCUUAAUGUAUUACUUCCAAAUUAAACAAUGCCAAUAUCUGCCACCGUCACCCCGUAAAAGUAGAAAUCAUUACACGGUGUGUAGAGGUUUCGAUAUUUCAUGAUAUCAGAGUCGGUUUUCUCCCUCUUGUUUGAGAUUAGUCUAUAUAUUACUUACUGAAGAAAAUUUUCAGAAUAAUUUUAAUUUUUUGUUUUGUAAUUUGUGAAAUUGCCAUACAAAAUCCAUGUAAAUGCAUAAAGGUACUCACUUCACUGUUCAGAGCAGCAGUAGCCGUGCCUCGUCCGUCUGGGUCGAUCAACAGAAGUGUGUCAACGAGAGCAAGAGCAGACGGCGGCAGAUCCUUAAAUUUUUCCGAUAUACAGCGUUCGUACGGCUUAAAAGUAGUUUGCGGCAACUUCAAUUUCGUCCAAUAAUCCUCUGACGGCGUCCCACAUAGCUUGAAGAUCUUGUGCAACUGCUCCACCUAAAUCAAAUGACCAUAGGAGAAAUUUAGUAACCCUUGUUCCCAAAUUUUCACCUCGAAAUUUUUGUCGGCGCGUGCUUUAACAAAAAAAAAAAAAACAAAAUGCAUAUAGCAUAAUUGAGGUAGAUGAGAUCGGCUUCCAAUGCCCAACUCGCAAAACGUAAUUUUUGACUUUUGGAAGGACACUGCAAAUGCUCCUUUACGGUAUACAUGAAACAGAAUGAUCAUGUAUCUAAAAGGGACAAAAAAGUACCUCCGUUCUUCCCGGAAAAAUUGGCUCCCCAGUGAGAAGCUCAGCCAAAAUACAACCCACACUCCAUAGGUCGACACCGACGCCGUAGUAAGUAGCACCUAAGAGGAGCUCGGGCGGGCGAUACCAGAGAGUGACAACUUGACUAGUCAUCGGCUGCAUGUUUUCAGGAUCGUAAGCCGUAGCAAGCCCGAAAUCCGCUAUCUUGAGUAUCCCUUCCUUGCUAAGGAGCAAAUUCGAGCUCUUUAUAUCACGGUGGAGGAUGCCUCGAUUGUGGCAAUGCUCGAGCCCGGACAGUAACUGUUUCAUGUAGCACUUCACCUGCGAUAUUAACGAGAGGAUAACAAUGAACGACAACAUGUUCAACGAAAAGAAAAUAUAAGCAAUAAAGUCAUUCACACUACGAAUUUAUGAUUCCGUUUUCGAAUAUCCUCCGUAUUUUGUCGAUAUUGCGACUUCAUCCUUAGCAAAUAAGACCAACUUUUGAUUUGAUAAUUGUUUGCGUUAAAAUUUCUAGCGUAACCGACUAACAGUUGAACAGAUGGUACUGUUCAUAACUUCUCCACAAAUGUUGUAAUUUUAGCCGAUAAAAUAAAUUAAAAGUGAUUUACAUCUACACCCUUAGAAAAAUAAAAAUCUUUUCCUAUCUAUUCUAUAAUAAUGUCCAAAAAGAUAUAGUAUGCGGCUAGAAUUGUGACCAACGGUCAAAAGUAGUUGACUGAAAAGGAAAUAGCAUUUCGUUAGACUUGUAAUAGAUCACGGAUUGUCUUCGAAAGCAGCUUUCAUGGACUUACUUUUGCAUCAAAGAAAACAACAAAACCAAGUUCACAUCAUUGUGAAACAAUAUUGAAAACUACUUCUAAUUGAACCUCUAAUAGUCAACAUUCAAAGGAAACACGCAUCACAUCACUAUCUACAAUAAUAAUCCAAUAUUGAUGACUUUUCCAUGUAGGGUGCAACUAAUAUCUAGCUAGCAAUAAAACUAAAAUUAUGUAAGAGUUACUAAUUGAGUAAUUGUUAUGCGUCGAAAAACGAUCUUAUUAUUAUUAUGCUUUUCCAAAUACAACCAAAUGCUUAUUCUUUCCAAGAUUUUCAGCAUUCAGUCAUUCUUCCAUGUGAGAAUAAUAUAUAUUUACGACGAAAGAAUUGCAGCUGUUUGGUGUAUUUUGGGUCCGUCAAAUUUCACAACUUAAACUACUUUUCAGUUUUUUUUUUUUUUUUUAAAAAGGUAAAUUUUGUCACUAGUUAACUGAGCUGUUAAUCUUAAUCAAAAUUUCCAGUUCAACUGAUUAAAAUAAUUCAAUUCGAACCAAAUUAAAGCUGCAGAGUGAAAAAAAAAAAAAAAAUCAGGCUCCUAUAUUGAAAUGUUUACAAUUCAGGUUAUAUAUAUUAUAAUAUUAUAAUAUAUAUAUAUAUAUAUAAAUAAAUUAAAAAGACAUAAAUGAAUCAUUUAGUUGGAUGAAUGAAUACAGGGAAAUGUUCAAACAAUGGUGUGGUCUACGAAUUACGUGGUGGACCACGUCCACGGAGCAACAUCUCAGAGUCACAGAGAGAGAGAGAGAGAGAGAGAAAGAGAGAGAGAGCGAAAGAAGACGCCGAGGUGUCGGAGUCAGUCUGGGCCCUAGGUAUACCUAAUGAAGGCGGUGAAUGGUUCACCAUCUUCAUUACCGCCGCAGCAGCCGCCGCCUCCGCCGCCGCCGCCGCAGCCCCGGGCUCCACCCUCACCUUCUUCAGCGCCACCACGCGCCCCGUCGCCGUGUCCACCGCCUUGUACACGUUGCUAUACGUCCCCGACCCAAUCUGCAUGCGCGCGAGACACACACACGUACACGGAUCACACUUCACACAAAGGUGGGUUUGCUUAAGCUGGGAAAAGAGGGGGGGAAAGGUCGCACCUUUUCGAGCUUCUGGAAGGAGUCGGCGCGGCGGGGUGCCCACCCGCGGAGGGCGUCCCCGGCGGCGGCGGAGAGCCAGAGCGGCCACCCGGCGGAGUCCCUCGCGGCGGCGGCGGAGGGGGUGCGGCGGAGCUCUGCGGCGGAGGGGGGCGGGAGAGGGGCGCGGAGGGGGUCUCCGGCGGUGGAGGCGGGGGGGAAGAGGAGGGCGGAGAGGGAGAAGGGGCAAUCGUCGUCGGCGGCGGCGUUGAGCUUACCGAGGAUGCAUCCCAUUCCUCAUGGGACGGCGGUGAGCGCACCGCGGCGGCGGUAGGGUUUCGGGCGACGGCGCGGCCACCGCCGGUGAGCGCGGGGGUUUAGUUAGUUAAGGAAGAAGAUGAAGAUGAAGAUGAAGAGGACGAGGGACGGGGGAGGGGAAAAGGAAUAAUUAAUACCAGUAAGUAGUAAGAUAGAUGAUGAUGGUGAUGAUGAUGCGAACCACAUUUGUAAAUGUAAUAAUAAAUAAAUAACUUAAUAAGGGUUUAAUACAUUUGAUAUAUUAUAUUAUAUUAUAUUAUAUUAUGUUAUGUUAUAUGUUUGUGUAAUUGGCACUAUUUCUUUACAUAAUUUUGCUAUUUGGGUAGGAGAAGUGGCACGACUUUUAUACACCUUGUUGGAUGAUUGAUUUUAUAGCUGGCGAAUGUUACAUCUUGGUUUGGUCAAUUAGAUUCAACGAACCCUUAUUUAAAAAAUAAUAAAUAAUAUAUAUAUAUAUAUAUAUAUAUAUUUGAGAGAAGGAUAGAUUAUCAGUUUUGUUUAUUUUUUAAAAAUAAACUUAUAAAGUAAUUAUACUUCCAACUCAAGUUAUCAGAUAUCAAUCAUUAAAUUCUUAAUAAAUUAUAUCAAAUACGAUGGAUAAAAAAUAAUAAUAAUAAUAAUUUGCUUUUUUAUAAUUUAGUAUAAUUUUAUUUUACCGUCUAUAUUUUUAAAAAAUAUAUUUUAUUAUACUCUGAUUUCAUAUCUAUAUAUUAUUUUAUUCUGUUUGAGUGUUUGAGUGUGGGAACACUAAAAAUUACCUAAUAAUAGAAUGAUAAAUAUAUUAUAUUUUAUUGUCUUAUGAUUUAUAUAGCUUGCUUUUUCCCAUUGUGUUCUAUACUAUACUAUACAUAUAUAGUAAGUGCAUCUCUAAUUUAUUUGUUUUUAUAAAUAGCUUUUUACACUCCAAGGGAAAAGAAAGGCAAUAUAUACAUAGAGUCAUUUGACACAUCAAAAGCCUAGAGCUUGGUAGUAGGCUUUUGCUGCAAAGUUGAAACUAAAUUUCAAGUCUCUAAAUUAAGUAAAAUUUCUGAUUUACAGGUUUUAAUUCUAUUACAACAAAAGACAACAAGAGAGAUUAGCAAGCAUAAAAAAAAUAUUAAUACUUUUUCAAACCGUUCUAAUUAAGCAUCACUUAUUCAAAAUCACCAACAAAAUCAAAUUAAGAAUAUGUGAGCUUAAAAAAUAUUCCACAGAAUGCAUUUGUGGCCGAAUCUUAGAGGCCGAUUAGCAGAAUCGUGGCACUUAGAGAAUCAUAUAAAUUCAAUCAGUCAAAUAUUACUAUAUCAGUACCUACUUGACACUUAGUCUUAAAUAUGAAUAGAUCGGUCAAAUAUUGCCACACAACGUAUACUCGACACUUAAUUCUGAAUAUGAAUAGAUUGGUCAAAUAUUGUUAUAUCAGCGUGUACUGAACGACACUUAAUCCUAAAUAUGAAUAAAUCGGUGAAACAUUAUCACAUCAGCGCGCGUACUCAACACAACUUAGUUCCUAAAUAUGAAUAGGAUAAAUUAAUAAGAUGAUUAGUUAGGCACAAGUCCACUUCAUUCCAAGAAGUGCAACAUCCCCUAGCCUCAAUUGUACACCACAUUCAAAACCAAUUUAUUGCUCCCAACAACUUUUUGUUGAAACUAAGGCACUAGCUAGGAUGUGGAACCCUACAUGGGAGGGACUAAAUUGGCGUCAUAUGUUCAAAACAUGAUACCAAACAUACGUGUGAAAACGAUGUUUGCUGUGUUCUCCACAUGGUGUUAGGGUUUUUUUUCAACUCUAUUGACUCGAUUGGCUCUUUAAUGGUCACGAGAGUAAAAACAUUCGUUUCCAUGUGGAAUAAGGUGGAGGUGGAGGGUCUUUUACGUUGUUAGAUUAAUUAAUUUCUCGAUGUUUUUGUUGUCUUGAACCCUUUGACGAUCUAAACAUGGGGAAACAAAAGAACAAAAGAAAUAUCAUUAUAUAUAUAUAUAUAUGUGGCAUAUGAUAUCAGUUACUGAUCAUCAAAUGAUCUAUCAUGUAUUUUUACUUAUUUGGCUUUUGCAGUUAUUGAAGAAAUUAAGUUUGUUUGAAUAUAAAAAAGACCGCAAUUUAGUGAUGCGGAUUGCGAUAAAUGACGGAUUGAAUAGCAAAUAUCUUUGGUGCUCCGUAGAUGAUGUGGUGGAACCAGGUUUGAGAGUGAUUUUGAAAAAGAGAGAUCCUUGGAAAGAAGAGAGAGAAUGAGAGAGAGAGGAAUAAGUGGGGCUCUUCAUACUUUGUGUGAUUGAGAGUUCCUAUUUAGACAUCUAGACCUCUCUCUCUCUCUCUCUCUAACAAUCCGACCCGUUAGUAAUAAUAAUUCAUUGGGGUCAAAUCACCAGCUCGUUCGGCUCAAAUCAUCAGUUCAAAAUGUUUAAGUCCAGUUAUUAUUAUUAGUAUGUAGGCCUCAUAUAAACUGAUCGAAAUCAGUAUUCCAUCCGAUGUGGGGUUAUUAGGACAUUACACUCUCUCUCUCUCUCAAAUUCUCUUAAUUAGAAAUCAAACUUAGAUUGUGACCACACAUUUUGUUAAAUUCUUACAAAAGCAGCACAUUUUAAGGAAGACAAAGAUGUUUACACUUUCUAUUUGAUCUCUUACUCCAACAAUUUUUAAAGGCUAAAUUACAUUUCUUCUCUAUUAAUCUCUCCAUGUAAACAUGGAGAUGUAUAUAUCCACAAAGCAAAGAAAAAAAAAAAAACUAUAUGAGGAACUCUUUUCAGUCUGUUUUUUUGCUUAAAAAUUGUAUCUCUCUGAAAAAUAAGUGAAUAUUUGGAUUGAAAACAUUAAUAAGAACUAGAGAUAUCCCACCCCUCCUUUUGUGACUAGGGGUGGAAACGAGCCGAGCUCGAGCGAGCUUACCUCGGCUCAAAUUCGGCUUGAAAUUAAUUUCGGGCCUAAAUUUAAGCUCAAGCUUGGAUUGAAAUUAAUUCGAGCCGAGCUCGAGCGAGCCUAAUUUCAAGUCGAACGAGCUCGAGCCCUAAACGAGCCGCUUGAAAUUCUCAACAUUAUAUGAUCAAUAGUUUAAUUUGUACAGAACAUUAUCUAUAAUUUGAUACAAAAAUAUGUCUAAUAGUUCAAAGUAUAAAAUAAUAAUAUGAAAUAUAGUAUUAUAAUAUGAAAAAAAAAUAAUUUAUGAGUUGAAUAUCUAAUUUUUUCAGCCUCACAUGUCUUUUCUUCCGCCUUCAAUCUCUAUAUUAUUUAUUUUCAUUUAUGCAGUCAANAAAUUGUAAAAUUUUAAAUUUUAAAUUUUAAAUUUUGAAAUCUAUGUUGAAAUUUUAAAUUUUAUAUUGAAAUUUAAAAGUUAGAACUUGAUGCAUCUUUACCCAAGAAUGAUGGAAUUUUUUUCCUUUGGUUAGAGUGAAUUAUAAUUUUACUCCAUUUUUUGGAGUAUAGUUUAACUAUGCUUCAAAAAUUACAGUCUAUUUUUUGCUCCCAAACGCUUCAUAGGAUAAAUUUUCUACGGAUGUAGCAUAGUUUAAUUAUGCUACGUUUUUAAGAGUAUCCAAACGGGGCCCUAGUCUUAAAUAUGAAUAGAUCGGUCAAAUAUUGCCGCACAGCGUAUACUCGACACUUAAUUCUGAAUAUGAAUAGAUUGGUCAAAUAUUGUUAUAUCAGCGUGUACUGAACGACACUUAAUCCUAAAUAUGAAUAAAUCGGUGAAAUAUUAUCACAUCAGCGCGCGUACUCAACACAACUUAAUUCCUAAAUAUGAAUAGGAUAAAUUAAUAAGAUGAUUAGUUAGGCACAAGUCCACUUCAUUCCAAGAAGUGCAACAUCCCCAAGCCUCCUCAAUUGUACACCACAUUCAAAACCAAUUUAUUGCUCCCAACAACUUUUUGUUGAAACUAAGGCACUAGCUAGGAUGUGGAACCCUACAUGGGAGGGACUAAAUUGGCGUCAUAUGUUCAAAACAUGAUACCAAACAUACGUGUGAAAACGAUGUUUGCUGUGUUCUCCACAUGGUGUUAGGGUUUUUUUUCAACUCUAUUGACUCGAUUGGCUCUUUAAUGGUCACGAGCGUAAAAACAUUCGUCUCCAUGUGGAACAAGGUGGAGGUGGAGGGUCUUUUACGUUGUUAGAUUAAUUAAUUUCUUGAUGUUUUUGUUGUCUUGAACCCUUUGACGAUCUAAACAUGGGGAAACAAAAGAACAAAGGAAAUAUCUAUAAUGUGGCAUAUGAUAUCAGUUACUGAUCAUCAAAUGAUCUAUCAUGUAUCUUUACUUAUUUGGCUUUUGCAGUUGUUGAAGAAAUUGAGUAUGUUUGAAUAUAAAAAAGACCACAAUUUAGUGGUGCGGAUUGCCAUAAAUGACCGAUUGAAUAGCAAAUAUCUUUGGUGCUCUGUAGAUGAUGUGGUGGAACCAGGUUUGAGAGUGAUUUUGAAAAAGAGAGAUCCUUGGAAAGAAGAGAGAGAAUGAGAGAGAGAGAGAGGAAUAAGUGGGGCUCUUCACACUUUGUGUGAUUGAGAGUUCCUAUUUAGACAUCUAGACCUCAAUCUCUCUCUCUCUCUCUCUAACAAUUCUACCCGCUAAUAAUAAUAAUUCGUUGGGGCCAAAUCACCGGCUCAUUCGGCUAAAAUCAUCAGCUAAGUCCAGUUAUUAUUACUAGUAUAUAGGCCUCAUAUAAACUGAUUGAAAUCAGUAUCCCAUCCGAUGUGGGACUAUUGGAACAUUACACUCUCUCUCUCUGAAAUUCUCUUAAUUAGAAAUCAAACUUAGAUUGUGACCACACAUU
rnacentral:lncRNA from 1 species